rnacentral:lncRNA from 1 species
CGAAGAUAACUCUGAGACCAUACGUCUUUAAUUCUAGAGCAAUCGAUCAGACAAUGAGUGACUGUUUCCGUUGCUUCAUGACAGCAAGGGCAUAUUGGUGAUAUAGAUGGGAUGCGGUGAUGAAUCUGAGCAAGCACCGGAAGUCGGCCAUGGAGAGUUUUUCAGAUAAAUAGCUUAAUUUUGUGAGGCAAGUUCAACUUCCAUAGAUCAAUCUACGGCUUUUUCUGCUGCAUAUAAUUAGGGCAAAGCUCCAGAGGCGGAUGGUAAAAUAAAUAGCCAAUUCUAUAACCUGAAGCUGUAUCAUAUUGCUUAGAUUUGUUCAAAUCUCAUUGCAAUUUGUCCCUACUCUGCUGAAUUUUAACUGACAAAAUCCUGUUUGCAACGUCUUGGGGAAAUAAUUCUUGAAUGAGAUUCUGAUUCCAAUUUCUAUCUUCAGUAAUUAGAUCUUUAACUCUUGGAACCAACUCAGAAAUAGCCUGUCUAUUUGGCAUGUCAGAAAUCAUUAAAGGAUACGGAGGAGGCAGCCAAGGAUCCUCAAAGGUUCGGAUAUUCUCACCAGUACCCACAACUCAAUUAAGACCUUUUUCAACAAUCUUUCGGCCUUCCAGUAUGCUCCUCCAUCCCCAAGAAGGUAAGACUCCAAUUUCUGCCGUUAUAGCAUUACCAUUGCUAAAGUAUUUACCUCUUAAGAUUUUGGAUAAUAAGGAAGUAGGCUGUGUUACAAGUUGCCAAAACUGUUUGCCUAAAAGUGCCAGAUUUUGGAUUCUGAGAUCUUUAAAUCCAAGGCCUCCUUCUUUUCGUGGGCGAGUCAUAGUGUCCCAGCUAAUCCAAGCCAUCCUCCUUUCAGAACCUUUUUGUCCCCACCAUAACUGAGAAAGUAGAGAGUGAAUUUCCGAAAUUAAACCAUCAGGCAACUUAAAGCAAGACAAUAUAUAAAUAGGAAUAGCUUCUCCCACUGCCUUAAGCAAUACGUGUCUACCACCUGACGAAAGAAGAUUGCGCUUCCAUCCUUGGAUUCUUUUCCAAACCUUUUCUUUGAUCAUACUAAAAGAAGCCUUUUUCGAUUUAGAGACUGUAGAAGGCAAACCAAGGUAUUUAUCCUGAGCCCCAAUAUGAUUAAUAUUCAUAGAGUUAGCCAGUAGUGUACGAGUAGUGGACGGAGUGUUGUGGCUAAAGAAUACAGCAGAUUAUUAAGAUUUACCCUCUGGCCACUGAUGCUUUCAUAAGAAUUCAAUAAAUGCAAGAUAUUUGAACAUGCUUCAGGAUUAGCCUUACAGAAUAAAAUGGAAUCAUCAGCAAACAGGAGGUGGUUGACCUUGGGACAUCGCAUAUGUAUCUGAAGACCCUGAAUUAGUCUGUUUUGUUCUGCCUUGUGUAACAAGAAGGAGAAACCUUCUGCACAAAAAAGAAAAAGAUAGGGGGAUAGAGGAUCUCCUUGUCGAAUACCUCUAUUUGGUUUGAAGAAACCAUAAGGUUGUCCUUCCACAAUAACAGAAUAAGAAACAGUUGUCACUAAUUCUCGAAUCCACAUGAUCCAUCGGGAGUCAAAACCAAACUUCUCCAAUAUAAACCAAAGAAAGUGUCAUUCCACCCUAUCAUAUGCCUUACUCAUAUCUAAUUUUAGCGCCAUUUUAUUUUCGAGACCCCUUUUUGUUCUUCAAGUAAUGCAUACACUCGUGAGCAAUUAGGAUAUUAUCAGAGAUUAAUCUGCCUUUAAUAAAAGCACUCUGCGUAGGGCUAAUUAGUCUAUUCAUCAUACCCUGAAGCCUAUGUACAAAUACUUUGGAGAUAAUCUUGUAAAAGACUGAAGAUAGACUUAUUGGUUUUAUCUGAGUCAUAUCUUUAGCAUCAGAAAUCUUGGGAAUAAGACAGAUCUGAGUGUGGUUAAAACCCUUCAAGAUUCUACCCCCAGAAAAGAAGCUCUUAACUGCUCAAAAUACAUCACCACUAAGUAUGUUCCAGAAGCUUUGAAAAAAUUUUGCUGUCAUACCAUCAUCUCCUGGAGCACUUUGAGGAUGAAUGCUAAAUGUUGUGCGUUUCACUUCCUCCAUAGUCACUGAUCUUUGAAGCCUACGGUUCAUGUGAGCUGUAACCUUAGGUUCAAAAUCAAUAAACAGAGGUUCAGGGUUCUCAUGACAAGUGGAGGAAAAGAUGUCCUUGAAAUAAGAUUCAGCCACAGAAGCAAUACCAACAUUUGAAGUAGCCACUUCACCAUCACUGCCAGUUAGUUGCCAAAUUCUAUUCCUUCGGGUUCGGUUUCUAAAUUUCUGAUGGAAGAAAGCUGUAUUCUGAUCACUAGAUUUGAGCCAUUUGACUCUAGACUUAUCUUUCCAAUAAGAUUCCUCAUUUUGCAAUGCUUUUUCAAGUUUGUCCUCUAUUUCUGAAAUGAUGUCGCCUCCAUGAAUUCCUGCUAAACGAAGUUCCUCUAAUUCCGACUGUAGUAAAUCAAUCUCCACCUUCGAAUUAGAUCUGUGUUCUUGCUGCCAUCUGACAAUCUUAUGCCGACAACGCUUUAUUUUUUGAGCUAGGAUAUACAUGGCUGAACCAUCAAUCUGUUCAUGCCAAACCUCUCUAACAAUCUGCCUUAUUUCAUCAUUGGAACACCAUCUUUCUUGGAAUUUGAAUCGGCGUUUAGAUCUCUCAGUUCUCGGAUUAGAGUAUAGGAGAAGAGGGCAUGAUCCGAGCCUGAUUCUGACAGUCUAAGAACCGUUGCAUUGGGAUAGAGUUGCUGCCAAUCAACUCCUACCAGGAAUCGGUCCAGUCUUUCCUGUAUCAACUCAUCACCCCUCCGUCUAUUUGAUCAAGUGAAUGGUCUUCCGACCAUACCAAUAUCAAUCAGGGAAUUAUCAUCAAUAAAACUAUUAAAGGUUUCAAUAGGAGAAGGAGAUUUAGCACCCUCACCUUCUUUCUCCAAUUGAUUAGAAAUGUCAUUAAAAUCCCCCAUUAACACAACCUUACCAUCGAACUGUUGGGUGACUGAAGUUAAUUCAGCAAAUUGAGCCAUUCUAUGUUGAUCAUUUGAACUGAGAUAAACACCUAGAACACCAUAGGGAUCAUUAGAACCAGCUGUCAGAACUGAUGCCGCAAUGAAAAAUCUACCAUGCUGUAAAAUCUGAACAGUGCAACCAUCCCUCCAUGCCAUUGCCAAACCCCCUGAUAAUCCAUCCGGAUCUACAAUAAACCAUUCCUUGAAACCACAAGAUGUUAGUUUUCCUUCAACUUGUCGAGAUUGAUUUUUUGUUUCACAGAUAAAACCAACCUCGGGGGAGUAGGAUUUGCAAAUCCCUUUAAGAUUGUGGAUUGUCAGGGGCCUCCCCAAACCCCGACAAUUCCAUGAGAGCAGUUUCAUAUUUCUUUGGGUGCCACUUGAAGGCCGGCACCCUCCACCGUCAUAGCAAUUAUAUGAGGGUUCUGAGUCUCUUAUUUGUUGCUCAUGGUGUAGAGAAAAUCAGAAUUGGUAUUCAAUGAUUCCAAAGAGACAUAAGAUAUAUGGAAUGAGUGAAUUAGAAAACGGAAUGAAUUAAAAGAGGAAUGAAUUGGGAGAGAAAACGAAAAUUAGGGAGCUAAGUGGAAAAGAAAUUAAGAAAAGAAAGUAGAAGAAGAUGGAAAAGAGUUUGCCGAAGAAAAGACAAAAAAAGGUGUAACCAUGGAGGCGGUGCAGUGAAACUGUUGGUUUAUGGUAUAACCAGAAAUAUUUAGGACAGAGAUAUAAGAAAAAUACGUAGGUGAAAGGAAUGGGAAUCACUCAUUUUUACUUUACUGAAGCAGUACAUUUAUAGGAUUUUAAUCCAUGACACUACCACAUCACCACUAAACUAGGAAGUGGGAUGAACAGAAACUGCCACAUACCCACUAGAUAAGGAAGUGGAAUAACAAAAACUACUUUUCUCCUAAAGUGCAGGAACCACUAAUUGACUAAAACAACAAACUGAAACAAUAAUAAAAAAAACUUAAUGCAGUCCAAAAGCAAAUAAUUAACACUCCUCCUUGCUUUAGGAUCUGCAAACUCCAAUUUUCUGCCUCAAUAGCUCAAACUUGCUGACAGGAAGUGGCUUUGUAAACAAAUCUGCCUUUUUCCAUUUUGGAUCCUUGAGUGCUUCUUCACAGCAACUAGGUUCGCAUACUACUACAUUGCAUCUUUGAUAAAUGUCUGACAGCAGUCUUGUGCCUCUGAUGGGAUGAUCAUCUUCUAAUUCAUUUUGACACAACUCUGUUGUUUGGUUUCCGCCAUAAUCAUCUUCAAUAUUGUUACAAGGUUCAAUUGUUUUUCGUGGGUUCUUCCAAUCCCAUUGUUGAUCUUCAUUGAAAUGGACAAGCUUUUUACAAAGCCUAUGCUCAAUAGGUGUUCAUUUAUCCUACUGUACCAAGCUCUUGGUGCUUGUUUUAAUCCAUAAAGGGCUUUUUUUAGUAGAUAGACUUUAUCUUCUUCUCCAUGCAUAACAAAUCCCUCUGGCUGCUCCACAUAUAUCUCUUCUUGUAAAACUCCAUUUAAAAAAGCUGAUUUGACAUCUAAAUGGAAUACUUUCCAGCCUUGUUGAGCAGCAACUGCUAACACCAAUCUAAUUGUAUCUAAUCUGGACACCGGUGCAAACGUGUCAGAAUAAUCAACACCAAAAAUUUGUGCAUACCCUUUUACUACAAGUCUGGCCUUGUAUUUAUUGAUAGAGCAAUCCGCAUUAAGCUUUGUUCUGAACACCCAUUUAACUCCAAUAACUUUUCUGUCUUAAGGCUUGUCAACCUUUUUCCAUGUGUUGUUUUUUUGAAUCAUUGAAAUCUCAUCCUCCAUUGCCUUUUUCCAUUUUGGAUCCUUGAGUGCUUCUUCACAGCAACUAGGUUCGCAUACUGCUACAUUGCAUCUUUGAUAAAUGUCUGACAGCAGUCUUGUGCCUCUGAUGGGAUGAUCAUCUUCUAAUUCAUUUUGACACAACUCUGUUGUUUGGUUUCCGCAUACCUUAGCUUGUAUAUUUGAACUUAAUGGGGCAAGAGUUUUAUGAAAACGUGUAUUCUGAGUAUGAAUUAUUCAAAGAUGGAUAUUUUUAUUUCGUUGCUAUCCUUCGCUAAUUAAUUAAGAGGACCCAGGUCGAUUAAAUUGGCUCUGUAUUUUACAGUUCCAUAUAUAAUAAAAUGAUUUUUUUUUUUCAGAUUUCCGUUUGCUUACAUGUGGAAGGUUCCUUUGUUUUUUUCACGGUGCACACAAAAGAAAAAAAAAAUUAGUUAUUUCCCUUCCCUUGCCUCCUCCAGUUUAGACGACUAAUAGCAACAAUUGAAAGACAUCACAAUUUAUAAUACUGAAGAUUAAAUUAAUUACGUUAUAUUAAAUGUAUUUUAUGUUAUUUUCUUUAUUUAAAGCAAAAUUGUUUAUGUUUCCACUAUAUCGUCUUAAUUAUUAGAUAAAAAAGCAACUAAUUUGCAAUUAAAGAAAAAUUUAAGUCAAUUAUAUCGUAAAAAAACUUAUAUAUAUUAUGAAAAUUUAAGCGCAACACAUAUAAGAAUGAUAAAAUAUCAAAAUAAAAAACACAUUAAAAUUUGACAGUGAUAAAAUUAAAUAUGCUUGAACAACAAUUUACUCACAGACACUCAAAAAAAAAAAAUUAAUUACUCCAUUAUCCUCAACUAAUUUUAAUUUUUUUUAUUUAUUUUAUAUUUAAAAUUAUAAAUUUUUAACCUUAAUUAGACUCUAAAUUAUAAUUUCUAAACCCUAAAUUCUUCAUAAAAUAAAAAUUUUUAGAAUUAAAAAAAUUGACUAAUGUUAACGAAUUAAAAAUUAAUUUCUAAUACUUUUUGACAUAAAAAGAAAAAGAAAAACAUUUUUUUUUUCAAUUAGUAGAAAACAUAACAUUUAAGUUAUAUUUGUUUCUAAGCAUAAGAUGCUAAAAUAUAAACACAAAAAUAUAAAAUUAUAUUUGAGAGAUGUUAAAAGAGACAGAGACAUACCUCAAAAUAUGGAAUUAGUGUAUUUUGUAUCUUUACGAACAGAAAUAACACAAACACUAAUUUAUAAUUAUAAUUUGUUUUUUUACUAAGAGAUACAAUUUAUUUUUUUAUAUUUUUUCUUUCAUUAUUUCUAUUAUCUUUUAUAAUUAUAAAUUUUAUUAUUAUAUUUUUCUUCUUAAAUANNNNNNNNNNNNNNNNNNNNNNNNNNNNNNNNNNNNNNNNNNNNNNNNNNNNNNNNNNNNNNNNNNNNNNNNNNNNNNNNNNNNNNNNNNNNNNNNNNNUUAAAUAUUUUGGAUAAAAAAAUAAAUUAAAUUUUUAAAAUUUAUUCUUUCUUAUAUUUAACUUAUCAUCAAAUAAAAUAAUUUUGUGUCUUUAUUCUUUAUAUCUCAUCCUCAAAAUCUUUAUCUUAUUUUGUUAUGAGAAUCAACGUGUCUUAUAUUAUGCACGCUAGACUGCUAGAGUCCCUUGGGAUGCCUAGUCAUACGAAUAUUAUAGCCCAUGUCUUCAGUUUUUACAGCCUCACUCUUCUUAAUUUUGUUGUUGUGAGGCUUCAGCUGCUGCGAUUGUUUUGGUUAAGUUCAUUCCCUUGGAGAUAUUCUUAGGUUUGCUGAGAUCAGCCAUGUAGAUCGAUAUAUCAAUCAAUGCAAUCGAUCAUAAUAAUAGUAAUAAUCACUACCAGAAAUGCGGUGAUUAGCCACGGAAAAAAUCGUGGCUAAAAUCAAGAAAUUCCGUAGCGAUUAAGCUUUAACAACGAAUACAUUUCCGUGGCUAACAAGGACGACGCCUUUUCAGUUAGCCACGAUUUUCAUCCGGUUAGCCAUAGUUUUAUGAUCCGUAGAGACAUCUGAAUAGCCACGGUUUUUACGUUAUUGGCCACACUCUAAACCGUAGCUAAAUGACAACAGUGUAACCAAGUAUAGCUUUGCGACAAUUUUUCCGUGGCUAAUAUUGGUAAGCUGGGCUUUUUUGCCACAUUUUUUCCGUAGCCAAUAUUGGUAAGCUGGGCUUUUUUGCUACAUUUUUUCUGUGGCUAAACAUUGUUGGGUUAUUUAGCCACGAUUUUUUCGUGGCUAAUCAUAAAAGAUAAAUUAAAAAAUAUAUAUAUAUAAAAUAAAGAUGCUACUUAGAACAAAAUUAUAUUAUACAAAAUUAAAAAGAUUAGCCAUAUCCAUAUAAGUAAUAUUUUUAGUAAUAAAAAUAUGAAAUUUAAGUAACAAUGUUGAAAAGCAAAUAUCCUGAACUAAAUGAGUUUAAACUAUUACAAAAUCAAGUAUCAAAAUGUAUCAUUAUUAGAUCUCUAAGGUCUUCAUUGGAAUACUUGCAAAAACAUUCAAAUAAGAUUGUGUUAUCUCUUAAUUCAUGAAAAAAAGUCCCAAGACAUUAUUUAAAAUAAUAUUUUAAUGUAGUUAAAAAAAAGUAGGAAUGCAUACCAAUAAUGCUGAGUUUUCAUUUUCACAACAUAAAACAUCUUAUUGAACCCGUCAUCAAUCAAUAUAUAUAUUGCUAGACUUGAUAUCCUGGUGAACAACUUUCAAUUCAAUUGCUUCAUACAAGUAAAUGAGCAAGCCUGUCAUGAAUAAAGAUAAAAUAGAUAGUGAUAUUAAUGAUAUUUUCUCAUAUUAAAACUUAACUAUAGUAUUAUUUAACGAGACAAACGAAUACUAUUAGCGAGAUAUUGGAUUGCAAUCAAAACCAUUUAGAGAAAAAGAACUUAAAGUAAAAAUAAAAAUGUGUUAGAAAUUACUAAGGUCAAUAUUUUAAAGUAGAAAGUUGAGCUUACCAGGUAACUAUCGAAUAAAACUUUCAUGCGGACCUCCCAGGUAAGUGUCCCUUGUUCCAUGGCAACAUGCAUCCAUUACUCUAAGUUACCAUUAUUGACAUAUUCAUCCAUUAGCAGCUUAAAUAUUGAAACAAACACUAAAGCAAAAAUACUAUUGAUAAUACAAAGAAAUAGAUAAUUAGAUACUAUGUACUCGAAAAUUGUGAGAGCACAUAUAAUAACUUAAAGAAGUGCAACUUUAUUCAACGUUGGUAUCAGGACCUUUAACACUGUCUUCUACUUAGUUCAAAUUUAUCCAUAUUCAUAUAAGUUUCAAUAAUUACAAAGUUACAAAGCUAAAUUAAAAGUUGAACAAUUUAAAAUAAAACACAAACUUGCAUGGAGAUCCCAGCAUCGACAAGAGACAAAGUUGCAGCAUUGAUACACACAGAUCUAGUUCCUACACAGGAAUAUUGGGGAAGAAUUAGUGAAUGGUAAAAAAAAAUAGUCUUUUAAAUACAAAAAAAAUUAAAGAUUCAAGAGAAUAUUAGAUAAAUAUAAAAAAAGCUGCUUAGGGUUCUUUCCAUUCUUCUUUGUAAUUCAGGAUUACCUGCAAAAUCUUCGAUUUUCGCUAUUUUGGGACCUUCUUUGGUAAUUUAACGUUGAAUUUACUAAGGAUACAGAGAAAAUGAACAAUAGUAUGAACUGUGAAGGAGUUCUUCCAAUUUUCCAGUGAGUGGGCUUUACUUUGGUGUUGAGUGAAAAUUACUUUUAAGUUUUUCGCCCAAAAUUUCACUUGUAAAAGUUCAUUUGAAUUUAUUUCAGUCAAGUAAUUGAGAUUUUUAAUUUAAAUUAAUAGUUAACUAUAAAAAAUAUAUAAAUUAUAAUAUAUACCAUAUUUCAAAGACGAUACAUACUAAUUACUGUUACGUUAAUUUAUGUUGGAUAUUUUUUUUUACUAAAUUGAUAAAAAGAUAAUAAAAAAAUAAAAAAAUUAAAUUUAGAAAAACUAAUGCAUAUUGUAAAUUAGAGACAAAAAAAAUGUACUCUUUUUUAUCAUGAAUUUUAUAUAUACUUUUAACAUUCAUUCUCAAUUAAUUAAAGCAAUAAGUAUGUAUUCUUUUUAUACUAUUUUAACUAAUGCAUCUUCUAGUCACAAAAAAAACUAAUGCAUCUUCGGUUACUCAAUGCUGAAUUUACUAAGGAUACGGAGAAACUGAACAAUAGUCUGAACAUGUGAGAGAAUUCUUCUGAUUUUCUAGUGAGUGGGCUUUACUUUGGUGCUAAGUGAAAGUUAUUUUUUUCCGUCUAAAAUUUUACUUGUGUAUUGUAAAUGUUCAUUUGAAUUUAUUUCAGUCAAGUAAUUAAGAUUUUUAAUUUAAAUUAAUAAUUAACUAUAAUAAAAAAUACAAAAUUAUAAUUAUAUAUCAUAUUUCAAAGACGGUACAUACUAAUUAGGAUUAUGGAUUUUGACUCGAAUUUAAAAAAUAAACGAAAAAAAAUAUUAAAAUUUUGUAACUAUUUCAAAAAUAAACCUACGUUAACUUAUGUCGGAUAUUUUUUUAUUAAAUUAAUAAAAAAAUAAAAAAUAGGAAAAUUAAUACAUAUUGUGAAUUAGGGACAAAAAAAUGUACUCUUUUUAUUAUGAAUUUUAUAUUUUUAUCAUCCAUUCUCAAUUAAUUAGAGUUAUAAGUAUGUACUCUUUUUAUAUUAUUCCAACUAAUGCAUAUCUUAUCAAUUGAAAAUGGCUGGGAAGGAGAGAGAAAAAAUCAUCGACAAACUAGAUAAGUCUGCACCCUUAAAAAUUAAAAUUUAUUAUUAAAGUUUAAAUUUGGAAAAAAUAGGAACUGCCUAUAAAAUUUUUGAAAGGAAUGGAAGGAAACACUAGAAGCGCAUAAUUUAAAAGUAGACAUGUUUGAUUUCGGCUACGGUGAGCAUUGGGUCUGUGGUAAUUGAGAGAAUCCGAUUCAAAUUGGCCACAGACAAACAAGAACGUGGGAAACUUUCGCACAAUUUAACCACGGAAAAGCAAAACGUUGCAAGUGAUUACGACGAUCAUGAAAAUUUGCCACUGUUUUUUGUUCGUGAGUAUUUUCCCGUGGUAAACUAUCGUGUUUCUGGUAGUGAAUAUUGUGAUUGUGAUCAAUGAAAAUGUUCAAUUUGAAAUACAAUAUUCUUGUUUUGGUGUGCUCUUCAAACUCCACAAAAUGACUAUAUAUAGAGAGCGGCUAGGGUUUUAUACAUGACUGACGUGGCAUAUAGUAGCAAUUAACAGGGCAAUUCUCCUUUGGCAAAAUGUGCUUUAAUUUGUAUGUGUAAUUUAGAAAAAUUAAUACAUACUGUGAAUUAGGGACAAAAAAAUGUACUCUUUUUAUUAUGAAUUUUAUAUUUUUAUCAUCCAUUCUCAAUUAAUUAGAGUUAUAAGUAUGUACUCUUUUUAUAUUAUUCCAACUAAUGCAUAUCUUAUCAAUUGAAAAUGGCUGGGAAGGAGAGAGAAAAAAUCAUCGACAAACUAGAUAAGUCUGCACCCUUAAAAAUUGAAAUUUAUUAUUAAAGUUUAAAUUUGGAAAAAAUAGGAACUGCCUAUAAAAUUUUUGAAAGGGAUAGAAAGAAACACUAGAAGCGCGCGUAAUUUAAAAGUAGACAUCGUUUGAUUUCGCCACGGUGAACAUUGGGUCUGUGGUAAUUGAGAGAGUCCAAUUCAAAUUGGCCACAGACAAACAAGAACGUGAGAAAUUUUUGCACAAUUUAACCACGAAAAAGCAAAACGUUGCAAGUGAUUACGACGAUCAUGAAAAUUUGCCACUACUUCUUGUUCGUGAGUAUUUUCCCGUGGUAAACUAUCGUGUUUCUGGUAGUGAAUAUUGUGAUUGUGAUCAAUGAAAAUGUUCAAUUUGAAAUACAAUAUUCUUGUUUUGGUGUGCUCUUCAAACUCCACAAAAUGACUAUAUAUAGAGAGCGGCUAGGGUUUUAUACAUGACUGACGUGGCAUAUAGUAGCAAUUAAAAGGGCAACUCUCCUUUGGCAAAAUGUGCUUUAAUUUGUAUGUGUAACCUAACUUGUCAAAGGAGAUAAGCACCAUAACUGGUUUGAUCCCUACUAAGAAUUUGUUUGGAUGAGUUUCUAAAAAAAAUAUUUUUUUAGUUAUUUUUUUUAAAAAAUCUUAUCAAAAAGUAAAAAUAAUUUUAUGUUUAGGUAUAAUUAACAAUAUAAAAGUACUUUUUUUAUUUAUUAUGUAAAAAAUAUAUUUUUUUUAAAAAAAUAUAUUUUAAAAAAGAUGUAAAUUGUAACUUCUUAAAAAAGAUUUUUUUCUAGUACUUUUACUUUUAUUACUAGAAAUCUGCCAAAUACGUUAAAAAAUAAAGAAAGAACUUUUUUCAAUAAAAAAAUCUUUUUUUAUCAAGAUAAUAACAUCCAAACAAACACUAAAUAUUUAUUCUAUAGUACAAGCAAAAAGCAUUUUUUUUUGGGUAAUGCUAAGGAGAAAAAAAAAACAGCCAGAACUUAUCUUAUUUAGUAUUCAUUAAUUAUCGUAAUAAUUAAUAAAUACUAAAUAAGACAAGUUAUAGUUAUUUUUGGUUAAUUUUCUUUGGUUAUCGAAACAUUUCUCUUUACUAAUUAGAGAAAAUAUCAUUCCCCUUCCCUAUGAGAUACUAAAAUGUCACUCCCUUCCCCUCUAUUUAUAAAAUGUAUAUUCUCCUUCUUUAUAACUUUUAAAAAACUUCAUCUUUAAUUCAUUUUAAAUUUUGUGUGAAUUAAUGUUAAUUUUAUCCAUUUUUCAAGAAAAAAUAAAUUAUAUUUUAUAAAAAUAUCCUUUAGCAAAAAUUUUAUUUUUUGUGAUUAAAUUUUGUAUACCAAAAUAUUCUUUAACAAAUUAUUUUUCUAGUGAUUGAAUUAUAUUCUUACCAAAAUAUUCUUUAAAAUAUUUUGUAAUGAUUAAAUUAUUUUUUUACUAAAAUACCCUUCAAUAUCAUUUUUCUAGUGAUUAAAUUGUGAUAUCAAUACAUAUUAUUUUAACAUUAAAUUAAAGAGAAAUUCUCCACAUACAAGCAUUUUUUUAUACAAGUCUUUACAAGUUAUUAUAUUAACGCGCUUGAACUGUUACUGUACGUUCUUCUUCCUCUUCCUCUUCUUCUUUUUUUAUUUCGUUUCUUGCUUUCUCUUUCUCCUUCAACCGUUACUGCACAAUUUCACUGCACCGUCGUCUUCUUCUUGCUGCACAUUCUUCUUCCUCUUCCUCCUCCUCUUCUUCUUCUUCUUCUUUUCUUUCGUUUUUGUAAAAAAUAAUUUAGUUUUUCUUGAAAAUAGAUAAAAGACAUUAGUUAACACAAAAGAAUUUAAAAUAGAUUAAAAUGAGAUUUUUUAAAAUCUAUAAAAGAGGAAAAUAUACAUUUUAUAAAUAAAGAGAAAAAAAUAUUAUUUUAGUAUCUCCUAGGAGAAGAGUGGUAUUUUCUCUACUAAUGACCAAUCAUUGCACUGUUUUAAAACUACUACACAAAAGUCAAAACUCUUCCCUUCAAAAGGUUAUGUCUUUUAAUUUGCACCACUUCAUAUUGAAAAACCUCCCUAUAAAUAUUAAUAAUUCUUCAUAGCUCCAUCAUUCCAUAACCAUUUCAAGAACUAGAAAGAUGGCAGAAAAAGAAACCGACCAAAUUUCUUCAUUACCCGAAGAGCUUCUUCUCAACAUUCUUUCCUCGCUUCCUUUCAAAGAAGCAGCGAAAACAUGUAUCCUCUCCAAGAAGUGGUUCAAGAUGUGGCAAUCUACCAACACAGUGAAGAACAACCAACUCGAAUGCAAGAAGGUAGAAGCUUAUGGAGCCGUUGAAGUACCGCAAAGGAAGUCUUUCAAGAACUUCAUCAAGAUCUGGAUCACAUUGUACAAAAAUCACCAUCUCCACGACAAAUUCACCCUCAAGGUUUCUCCUCCUUCGAACUGCGGUGACAUCGUUGGAGCCUCCGUCGAUUUCGCCGUAGAGGACGGCGUGAAAGAUUUGGAACUCGAUUUCGCCGAAGCGCAGUGGGAGGACGAACAUCCUGAAGAGAAUAUCCACGAUGCCUCGGUUGAAUUUCCGAGACACCUUUACGAGAACAAGAAACUGCACCAGAUGCUCGAGAGUUUGAAACUGCACUCGUGCAGUUUCGCGCCUGCAAAUUUCGCCAAGUUUGUGGCACUGAAAGAUGUGACUCUUGCUUGGAUUCCGUUGCAACUGGAAUCGAUUAGGACGCUGUUAUCGACGUGCGAGUGGAUCGAGAGUUUGAGCCUGAAGAACUGUUGGGAUAUUGAAUCCUUUGAUGUAAAGAAAUUGGAACUGAAGAAGUUGGUGAUUGAUAGGUGCAUAAUUGGAACAGAUUAUAUUGGUUUUGAGGCGCCAAAUUUGAAGGUUUUCAAGUACUGUGGUUCAGUGCCGCCGGUGUCUGAAGUGAAGGUGGAAGCUGGUACCAUGGAGGAGGCAGAUCUUGAUUUAAGCCCCAUGGAUGAGUUCUUUGAAUGUGGCAACGAACUUCAGAAUUUUCUUCAAGAUUUCUUUGCGGUCAAUGUUCUUACAGUUUGCAGCGUGAUUCUUCAGGUACUUCGUAUAUGUGUGUUAUUGCAAAGGUUUCUUUGGUUUUGGGAAUAGUAAUAGUUAGAAAUGGUAGACUGUAAGACUAUAUUUCAUUACUAAAUUUCUAGCUUUAUAUUUAAGUAUAUAUACUAAUACUAAUAUAGUAACUAAAACGUUUUUUAUAAUUUUAUUAAUUUGUUAAUGAAUGAAAGGUGAUUCCUUCGGGAGAUGAACCCGUGAGGCUACCAGGGGGUUUGAGGGUGAGACACUUGAAGAUGAAAAUCCAAAUGCAUCCCCAAGAAUUUUGCGGAUUCCUUUGGUUUCUCAACAGUUGUCCUAGGUUGACCAAAGUAGCAACAAGCGACCAACUCUAUGCAUGCUCCUAUUUCAUCAGUGCGGCUUCAAUUUUGACGAAGCUCAGCAUCAAUGUCUUGAAGAACAAGAAUGAUGACCCUAACACGGUGGAGAUGCGUCGUAUUUUAGCAUCGCAAUUGCUCCGUAUUCCAAAGGCUUCAAGAGUUUUGGCCAUAAUAAUUCGUUGACUGUUAUUAUGGUUGGGAGAAAACUCUCUGUUAAUAGAUAAUAGAGAUGCGAGUUAUAUAUAUGGUUAAGGAGUACACUGAUAAAUAAGUCUGUACAGUAAUUUUUCCCCUAAUACCUGGCCUACUGAUGAAUUAGUAGAUGUAUCCUAUGAAAUUUUAAUAUAAUAUUUGGUAAUUUGUGUUGUGAUAAAUAUAAAUUGAUGUCCAUUUAAUAUAUUGUGAUUUUUUUUACAAUGUUGGGCGGUUAAUUUUUUUGAUACAAAAAUUUAGUUUUUCAAUAAAGACUAAACUUUAUGAAGUUUGAAAAAUAAAUAUUUUGUCCACGUAUAAAUAGUAAUAAAAUCUGAAGUAUAUGACACACAACAAUAAUAAAAUACUUUUCUCUUUUUUUACAUGCUACGAUAAUUAUAUAAACAUUCUUCUCUCUUUUUUAUAUAUACAUUACUACAUAUUAGUAAUAUAUAUAUGAAUCAUUUCUAUUAUAUUAAGAUAUUAAUUACGGUGAACAUUAAUAUUAGAUUUAUUUUUUUACAUUUUUUAUUUUAUAUUUAUUUUCUUUUUUUUAUUUAUUUAUUUUACAACACACUAUCAGCACGAGAUUCUGAUCAAAAUUUAGGAAGACUCAGGUAAUAAAUUUUUAUUAUGUCAAAUUAAAGCUCUCUUAUCUUAAAUUUAAUACUCUUGAUAUAUUUGAAAACAACUACUUAUCAUGGAUACUAGGUGCCGAAAUACAUCUUGAUUCAAUGGAUCUUUAGAGAUGCCAUUAAGGUUUCAAAAAGAUAAAGCCAAAGUUAUGAUCUUCUUUCGUCGUCACCUUGACGGAAGAUUGAAAAAUAAAUAUCUCCCACUAAAACAUUCUACAGAUCUGUGGAAAAACCUUGAAAAAAGGUAUAAUCAUAAAAAAAAUAGUGAUACUCCUCAAACCCAAUAUGAGUGGACACACUUACGUCUACAGGAUUUUAUAUAUAUCCAUAAAUAAAUACACAAUUCAGCAAUGUUCCGAAUUACCUCAUGAAUAAAAUUAUGUGGGAAAAAGAUAAAUUAUAAUGACAUAUUAGAAAAAAAUUUUUCGACCUUUUAUGACUCGAAUGUGCUCCUGCAACAACAAUAUCGAGAAAAAGAAUUUAAAAAAUAUUCUGAGCUAAUUUUUUGUCUUCUUGUUGCUGAAUACAACAAUGAGUUGUUUUUAAAAAAUCAUGAAGCGCGCCCAGUUGGCGUCGCCCCAUUUUCUAAAGCAAAUGCAGUAAAUCAUUACUUCAAAAGAGAUAAAUGGCAUGAUUUUGGUAACAAGAAAAAUUAUGUUCACAAGAAAGGAUCUCAUCAGAAGUGGGAUAAAGAAAAAAAAUAAUGGGCAAAAUAAACCAACAGUGGAUAAAUAUUUCCAUUGUGGUGGAAAGGGCCACGUAUCUGUCGUACCCCAAGGCACUUAGUUGAUCUUUAUUAAGCAUCUUUGAAAAAGAAUGAAAAAGGAAAGAAAACAAAUUUUGUUUCAAAUGAUGUUGCUAAAAAUUACACCACUCAUUAUGAAGUAUUUGAUUUCUUUGAGGAUCUUGAAGGAAAUAUUGGUCAUCUGAUCAAUGAUGAAAAAGUCUAAUAUGUGGGUUUGUUCAGUACUCAUGUAAAUAAAUAAUGUAAGAAACUUCUUGUUAAAUUUUAUUUUCUACGUGUUUGGAUUUUAAAUAUGGAUAAGUAUUAUUUUAGUCCCUAACGUUGAGGGUCAGAAUCAAAACCGUCCCCAACAUAAUUUUUUAUUUAGAAUCAUCCUUAACAUUUUUUUCGUAUUAAAAUCGUCUUUUUUAACUUUUUCUGGACAAAAAUACUCUCAACUACUAUCAGCACCUUUACUUCUACCACCACCAUUAGUACCUUUACUUCCACCACCACCAGCACCUUUACCUCCACCACCAAGAAAAACAACAUCAAUGAAAUCAACAUAAAUUCAACAAAUCAAGGAAUCGAAAAUUCAACAAAUCAACACAAAUUCAACAAAUUUAACAAUCAAAUCAACACAUAAUAACAUUAAAAUCAGAAAACAACAAAUCAAAAUCAGAAGCAGAAGCAGAGGCAGUCACAGAAGUAGAGAAAGCAAAGGCAGUCACAGAAUUAGAAAACUUAUCAUGCUCCUUGAUUUUAUUUCUGAUUAAAAGCAAGAAAGCAAAAACAGAAGCAAAUUCAAGAAUCGGGAAGCAAAAAGCAAGAAGUAGAAGCAAAAAGCAAGAAGCAGAAGCAAGAAAGCAAGAAGCAAAAGCAAAAAGCAAAAUCAGAAAAGUAAGAAAGUAGAAGCAAGAUGCAGAAGCAGAAAGCAAGAAGCAGAACCAAAAAACAAGAAGCAAGAAGCAAAAAGAGAGGGGCAAGGUGCAGAUGAAACGGCGAGGCGGCAAGGCGGCGAGGCGGCCGGCGAGGUGCAGCAGUGAGGUCAACGGCGGCAGUGGCUCGCGUCUCCUCUCUCCCUCGUAUUGGCUCAUGCAAUAUGAUAGAAGGCUCUAGAAGAGUUAUAAUUUUGUUUCCCAAAUGAACAAAAUUCAUAAUAAAUAAUGUACUAUUGUCUACCAAGUCUCUAAAGAACUUGUUGAGUUUUAAAGGUAUUUGCCAAAUGGAUAUCAUAUUGAAACAAUGAAUGGGGAAUAUCAUGAGUAAUUAUAUAUCACAACUCAUGAUUCAAAUAAAAAGACUAUAUUAAAAAUGUUACGCUCACUUUCAUCUGGGUUAUAUUAUACUAAAAUGAGUGUAAUUGAAUUACAUGCCAUUAUAAACCUGCAAAAGUUUACUAACCUAAAUGAAUUUAAAAAAUUUGGCAUGAUCGAUUGGGUCAUUCAGGAACAACCAUGAUGCGAAAAAUUAUUAAAAACUCCCAUGGACAUUCACUAAAGAACCAGAAGAUUUUUAAAUUUAGUAAAUUUUGUUGUGCUGCAUGUUCUCAAGGAAAACUAAUUUUAAGGCUAUCACCAGUAAAACUUAGAUUUGAGUCUCCUAAAUUUCUAGAAAGGAUUCAAGGCAAUAUAUGUGGACCUAUUAAUCCACCAUGUGGAUCUUUUAGAUAUUUUAUGGUCCUAAUAGACGCAUAUUUGAGAUGGUCACAUGUGUGCUUAUUGUCUUCUGCAACCUGGCGUUUACGAGAUUACUUGCGCAAAUUAUUCGAUUAAAAGCACAUUUCUCAGAAAAUCCAAUCAAAGUAAUUCUUCUUCACUCAUGAUCUUCAAAAUCAAUGAACAAUUGAUAUCCAAUAGAUCCGCUCAAGUGAUAAUCUGGCAGAUUUAUUUACAAAAUCACUUCCAAAAUCCUCCUUUAAAAAAUUGGUAUAUCAGAUUGGGAUGUGAUAAUUUCAAGAUAUAAAAUAAUGUUGGCAAAAGGAGGAGACUGUACUCUUUUUUCUUUGGUCAGGUUUUUCUCCAUAUUGAUUUUUUUUUUACAAAGUUUUUAAUGAGGCAGUCCUCGUCACAAAGGAUAUUGUACUAUUUUUUCUUUACUAAAAUUUUUUUUAUUGAAAUUUUCUUUAGUAAGAUUUUAACAAGACAUAAUCCUAAAUGGACAUCCAAUGAAAAAUGUUGCCCAUUUAAUACAUUGUGAUUUUCUUCACAAUAUUGGGCGGCUAACUUUUUUUAAUAGAAAAAUUUAAUUACUCAAAAAAGACUAAAUUUUAUGAAUUUGAAAAAUAAAUAUUUUGUACCAUUAAUACUAGAUUUAUUUAUUUAUGUUUUUUUAUUUUUUAUUUUUUCUUUAUUUAUUUAUUUUACACCAAUUUGAUUAGUAAUGCAACAUUAUUAUUGAAUAGUAGUUAGUUUCACAAAAUUACUUGAUCUUAAUAUUUUUUCGAAUAUGCAGAUACUAUUUGAAAGAGGAAGUAUUUAAGAAUGCAACUUAAUUAUAUUUGGUAUUAAACGAAAUUUAAUUUUAAUCUAUUAUUAAUAUAAAGUAAUUUUAUUCAUGAAUUCAAUUAAUAACGUUUAUCUUUUAAAAAAUUAUUAUUUUUAUUGAAUGUAUAAAUAAUUAUCCAAGAAUAUAAAUGUAAGUAUAUGAUUGAAUAAAAUAUUUUACACUGAUAAUACAUUAAACUCAAAAACUCAUCAUUGAGCAUGUAUUUUGAUAAGAUGGGGGCGAAAACAUAUUUAUUUGAUAAUAAAUUGAUAACUGUUGUCUAAUUAUAUUUUCUCUUAAAUAAAAUAAUAUGACUAAAAAUAAAAAUAUUCUCUGAUACAGUUUUAUUGUUUAGUCAAAUGNNNNNNNNNNNNNNNNNNNNNNNNNNNNNNNAAUUUAUAAUUUAAUCUUUGUUAAAUUCUAAAAUAAUUUUAAUAAUAAAAAACACGUGAAUAAUUGGUACACAUAAUCAAGGUGCACAUACAAAUAAAACUUUAUUGAGGUUGAAUAAAACUUGGCCAAGUAAGAGAAAUAAUUUUUCUUAAAUGGUUGAUAAGAGUGAUAAACUGAUAAUAUAGAGUUGCAGCAUGUGGGAAAUUAGAUAAAAUAGGGAAUAAAUAUUUAAUCCGGUUCUUAUUUAUUUUUUAGAAGGAUAAAGUAAUUUCUGUCUAAAAAAAAGGUACAUUCUGAUUCCUAUCUUUAUAUUUUAUGAGCUAUGACGGUUUUUUUGUGCCUUUCAACGUUAAAAACAAAUAGAAUAAGUAUACAUAUCACUUAACGGUAAUGAGUUGGUUGUUAGGUGUCCAUUAAAUACUAAGUUGUCAAUUUAAAAAUGGACAGGGGUUGAUCUAUCCUUGCCUCCCAAACAAAAACGCUGUUGUUUUAAGUGGGAUGGGAGGUUCAAAUGAUACGCUGCUUCACUAUAUACUUUGAAAAUGUAUCACUGUGUUCAACUGUAAACCCUAAGACGGCAUGGUUGAUAGUAAAGAACGUGGGUCGACAUCAAAUCGGUGAAGUGGGAGAGUUGAAAACGAAUCAGGUUGGAGUUUGAAAGUUAUUGGGAGUGUGGAAUCAAUGUGGAAGAAAAAGAGGGUUGUCCUAGAGUGUAAUUGUGGAAUUUAUGCAAUUUUAUUCAUGUCCGGAACCGAUAUAAACCCAAACAGACUAUUCUUUCGAUGCUCAUACUUCAAGGUAGGUUUAUGAACAAUUAAAAUUUUGUUCACUUUGUUUUUCAUUGAUGCUCAUAUUUCAAGGUAGGUUUAUCAAGAAUUUCAAUUAUGUUCACUUUGUUUUUCAUUAGAUUUAUAAUAAAAAAUAUUAUUUUGUAGACUCCAACACUUCAUUACAAAUACUUUUGUUGGCUUAAUGAUUAUGUUGCAUCAUUCAAUGAGGAUGCUGCAAAGACUCUUUUGUUCGGAGGUUUGAAGCUGAAUCAGAAUCAUAAAGAAGGUCAUUCUUCUGCGGAUGAUAACAAAAUUAGAAAGUUAGAGAAAAGAUUGGUUGGCUUAAAAAUUCAUUUGAAGAAAGUUAGAUUUAAUUUUAGUCAAAUUAGAUGCACUCAUGUUGAAUGUGUUAUGUUGGCAUUUGUUGUUGGAAUUGUAGUUGAAAACCUGUUUAAUGGUGUAGUUUAGAGAGAUCAAAUGUUGUUUCUGGAGUAUUGUGAAACAUGGUGAUUAUGGUUAAGUUGUUUAGACUAUAACAUUUGUUGCUAUUGAUCACUUUUGAUGCAUGAAUAUAAAUAUAAUUAACCUGCUUUUGUUUUUAUAUGUUCGUUUAUUAUUCAAUUUUAAAGAAUGCAGUAGUAUACAUAAUUUUGUAAUAAAAUAAGGCAUUAUAAAUUUGUUGAAUAAAGUAAGAAGCCAUCUGCUGAAAGUUGAAACUUAACACAUGAUACCAUAAUAAUAGAAUAAGGGAAUCAUCAUUACAGCCCUUACUAAUAUAGUUACCCAAAAGAGUAUUCAAUCAACUAUACCCACUUAAAACAAUAGCGUUUUUGUUUGAGAGGCAGGGACAGAUCGACUCUUUUCUAUUUUUAAAUUGACAGCUUGACACUUAAUGGAUACCUGACAGCCAACUCAUCACUGUUAAGUGACACGUAUACUUAUUUCAUUUGUUUUUAACGUCGGAAGGCACAGAAGAACCGCCAUGUCUUACAAAAUAUAAAAACAGAAGUCGGAACGUAUUUUUUUUUUAACAGAAAUCACUUUAUUUUUCUUAAAAAUUGAUAGGGACUGAAUUGAGUGUUUACUCUAAAAUGGGUGGGAUGAUAUGAUAUAAAGAGUAAUUGAGAGACUUAUUCAAAGAAAAUGAGUUAGUGAUGAUCACUUAAUUAAAUCUUCAAAAUUUUCCUAUAAAUAUAAUGGUAAUGCUAAGAAGAAAAAAAAAGAUUAAAAUUUACAUUAUUGAAUGUUUAUUAAUUAUUACAAUAAUUAAUAAAUAUUAAAUAACAUGAGUUAUGAUUAUUUUCUUUUGGUUAACAAAUAUUUUCGUAAAUCGCUUUCUAUAUAAUAAUGGUCAAAAGCUAUACAAAUUAAACAGAUAGACCAAUAAGAACGAAACGAACAAUAAUAAUUAACGAAUUACAAUUAAUUAACCAAAUAAUGAAUAAUCUUUGAUCAACAAUAACAAUCUCUGCUGCUGCAAGCUUAUUCCCACUUCCACAUAUGCAUGUACGGAUGUACCUUCAACAAAAAUAUUGAAAGGAUGAAUAAUAUUUAGUUAUCAUCUUCUUAACAUCAUGCUUAAUAUAUAACGAUGAGAUAAUAAUAUAUAUACUUUAAGUAGCUGUUUUGUUUCCUAGUGAUCAUGUGGGUUUUGUGGUCAUGUUAGGCGUAUAGGCCAUGUCUUCAGUUUUCGCUGCUCUGUUGUUGCUGCUGCUGCCGCCGUCGCUGCGAGCAGGGACAGAACUUAGUUAAAAUAAGGAGGCCAUGGUUUUCCAAACUUUUGAUAAAAAAAUUAGUAAUACUUUUUCGAAAAAUAAAAAAUUAGUUCAAUUGAUUCAAAUAUUUUGCUAUGAUUUAAAAUACCAAAGUUCAAUCUUCAUCUCUUGCUUUUAUUGCAUAGUAAUUUUUAGUUUUAAAUAUUAAAAACAUGUUGGAUUUGGACUGAACUGAAUGUAUUCGCAUUUCGCAACUCUCUAUUCAAUAAGCAACACUAUCUCUACCUUUGAGUUCAAAUAUAAAAAAUUAGGUUUUUUUAUUUAUGUAAUUUAAUAUUAUUUUAUAUUUUACUGUUUAUUUAAUUUAAUUUUUUAUAUGAUAAAAAAUAUUAGAAUAUUCAAUAAGUAUUGAUAUUAUUGUAUUUGUAUAAAUUGAUAAAAAAAUUCAAUAAAUAUUAUAAAUUUUAAUAUUUGUAAUUCUAACUUCUUUUUUACAUAUUUUAGAGGAUAUAUAUUCAAAUUUUUAUAUAAAAUAAUCAUGAAAAAUUAAAGAAUUGAUGCAUUUUUUAAGAAAAAAGCUAAUAUUCAAGAAGGAGAACAUAUAACAUUUACAAUAUCAACACAUGUAGAUAGUUCUUCUACUUUAAUGAAUCACGAAAAAAGUGAGAUACAACUUCCAAAAGUUCAAAGAGUUGCAUUUGAUGAAUUUGACCUUAAUUUUUUGGAACGAGACCCUGAAAAACGGAUUUAAAUUUGGCAAUAUCACCCAAAUCAGAGAGAUGAUGUUAGACGAGUUUAUCUUAAAUGGGAUUCAUAUCAAAAGCAUCUUGAUAAUUAUUUUCUAUCUGGCCCCCAAAAUUUUGUUUCAAGCUCCGCCACUGACUGCGAGACUGCUGGUUGCUACUGCUAUUGCUGCUGCUGCGAGACUGCUGGUUGCUGCUGCGGGACUGCCGGGUGGAUCGCGCAGGGAUAUGAGCUGGUCCACAUUUUCGGGUUUAGUUUGUCGAUUCAUUGUGAGAAAUGUAAUGUAAUUAUUAGUAAAAUGUUGUGAUCAAUGGACUAAUUAACACUGUAUUUGAUCUGCCAUUUCGUAUUUAUAGACGUUUUUGAUGCAUGCAUGUGUACAUUAGGGUACAUUUACAUGUAUGAUAUAUAUGAGCGUGUUAACAUUUGUAAACUUUGCAUGAAAUUUAACUUGUAAAAACAUGAUAUUUUGAUAUUGUUGUAUUCUUAUAUUAAUUGUAUAGUUCAGGUGCGUUGUUGGGAAUUUUCCUUAGCUUUCUUGAGAAAACUAAAAUAAUUAAGGAAACUCAUGGUAGCUAAGAGAGGCGUGUACGGUCAUUACUUUUAUUUUUUAUUUUUUUGUUGAAAGAGAUUACUGUUUCUUCAUGCUGAUGAGCAUUGCAUGAGAAAUGCUACUGCAUUUCGACGGAACUGCAGAGAAAUGCAUGGAAUACUCCUCUUUUUUUUUUUUUUAUAAGAAACUCAAUGACAAUAUAUAAUAACUGUAAAAGAAACGGUGGUGAGUAAUUUAUACAAGAAUUUCAGUGUCAUUUGCACGAAAGUGGAAAUAAGCCAUGGCGUGCGGCUGCGUGUUUGAAGUUGGAAGGGCGAAUUGUGAAGGUAUUUACAGUAACGUGUAUGUAGAAUGAGUAGUUGGACAUGAAUUAAAAAAGAUAGAUGAAUAGUCAACAUUAGAGAAAUUACCAGAAGUCAAUGGAAUAUUUGUAUAAUGUGUAUAAUGAAGGUUUAGGAAGUAUUAAAUAUAUAAUCAUUAGUGUUAUCUCUUCUCAUCAGAGCUGAAACUUUUGGGAUGAGUAGUAUCAUAACAUGGUAUUAGAACGCUAGAUCCGAAAGGCCAAAAGUUCGAUUUUUGGUGAACUCCAAAAUCAGUUUAAGUUAUUAUUCCUAGUACUCGGAUAGUUAUUCUAGAUAGUAUGAGGGAUGUUUAUUUUAUAACUCAAUAACUCAUUGUACACAUUAUACAAAUAAUCUAUUGUCUCCCUAACGAGACUCUCAACAUUAUUUAUUAAAUUAUUACUAUUGUUAUAUUUUCUUUGAUUCUUCUAUAAUUCUGUUACUUACUUCUGGGGCCCGGCCCGGCCAUAUUAAUAGUUAAAUUGAAGCGGUAUGCAGUCGGAUCAUAACAAUAGAAAGUGUAUUACAGAUUUUUUGACGGUGUAUUGUAAUGUAAUUCUUCAACAAUUUGACUGGGUAUAGAUUUUUAGAAGAUAAUUUAUCCCUUUUUUUUAAAAAAAGAAAUUGUUAGUGCAAAUACAAUAUUUUAUCAUUUUUUUUAAAUAAGACAAAAAAAUACUUGACAAUAAUAUUUAUUGAUAGAAAAAAAAUCGAGAUAUUCACUCCUCUUCAUUUCCCGCCUUGGCCUUGGACGGUGGCUGCCAAUGCUUGGUUUAAUCAAACCAGUGACUUGUAUUAUGUCUAUUUAUUCACUAUUUUGUUUAAAAAUAACAAAAUAUUAUAUAAAUCUAUAUAUAAACGAUAUUUUAGAAAAAAUGGUACCAUGAGGUGAUAACUUUAAGAAACACAAUCAUUUAAUAUUUUUUUAUCAUAUAAUCAAUUUAUAUUAACAAUUAAAAAUAACAACGAAAUAAAUCUUCUAUUAAUCGUGAUUUUUAUACAUAUUUUGAUAACGUGAAUCAACGGAUUUUUCUCUUGAUAAAAAUUAAAAAAAUUGUGUUUGUUGUUAAUUCAAUCUAUUUAUUUGACACCAAUUAAUUGAUAAGAAACGAGUAAUGUUAAAAAAAACGAGAUUAAAAGUAUAACAUAGUCGAUUGAAUUGCACACUAGAAUAUGAAUUUUUUCAUAUUCAAUCGAUUGAAAAUAUAACACAAUUAAUUGAAUUUCACAUGAUAAUAUAGAUUUUUUUUAUUCAAUCGAUUAAAAGUGUAACACAAUCGAUUGAAUUGGACAAUUAAAAAUAUAACACAAUCAAUUGAAUUUUGCACGGAAAUAUAAAAUUUUUUUAUUCAAUUAAUUAGAAGGAUAACACAAUUAAUUGAAUUGAGUAUUGCGCUAUAUAUCAUGCCUUCCUUUUUUUGAACAGCCUUCCUUAUUUUUAACAAAAGUUUCCAUUUUUACAUGACUUCUUUUCUCUCUCUAAAACUAAAAAACUUCUCUCUUCAUAGUAUGUGUUAUUAUAUCUUUAGAGACAUGCGAAUUAAUAUGUACAAAUAAACGAAGUUUAAAAAAUAUUUUGUUAGCAUUACUAAUGUAUUAAUAACAGGUAUGAUAAAAAAUUUUGUCAUUAUCAAAAUAGAUGUCCAAGUGAUAGAUUGUGCAAUUUUCAACAGAAAUUAUCAUUAGAUAUCAGUGUUUAUUCUCUUAAAUGAGAACAUAUAUAUAAACCAUAAAAUUGUAAUAUAAAUGUUAUAUAUGUUGUUAAGGAAAAAUUAUAUAUACCAAAGAAUAGACAAAAAAAAAACUUACAAAUUUUAAAUUAGUAGUGGGUUGCAUAAGUUUAUAAAUAUAGUAUUGCAUCUUGUUUAAAUCUAUCUUAGACAUUUACCUACAAACACUAAUAGAUUUAUAUAACUGUUAGAUAUUAAUUGGUACUAAAUUUUAAUAUUAAAAUAACCAUCUGUACACUAGUAAAAUAAACAUCCGAUAUAUCUAUUGUUUACCUUGUUUAAUAUUUUCAUUGUUCACCUAUACUUUUCCAUUCCAUAAACAUUAAACAAUGCAUCUAACCGGAGAAUUAGGCAUCAGCAAGAAAAGAGAAGAACUGAAGCCGUGCAUGCGUGGUCCCCGUUGUGAAGAAAUCGCAGAUAAAUGCUUAGCUGUACAUGGAGACAAGGUUGCUCUCUUUGUAUGCUUAUCAUGUUAUAGAGAUGCUUUGCGAGGUGUAACAAAGGAAGGGUGCCAUAGCCAUGCAUGCUGAAGAGUGUCCCAAAUGCUCAGUGUACCAACUCACUUUCUCCGACGUGUCCCUUCCUUCACCCUCCUCUCGCCCCCUAUAAAUCACCUCGCUUCUCAUUCUCCUUCAUCACAACCACAGCAAUAACAAUAAUAGCAGCCAUGGCUAAGCUUCUUGAGCUUUCUUUUUGCUUUUGCUUUCUAGUUCUGGGAGCUAGCAGCAUCUCCUUCAGGCAGCAGCCGGAGGAGAAUGCGUGCCAGUUCCAGCGCCUCAAUGCGCAGAGACCUGACAACCGCAUUGAAUCGGAGGGCGGUUACAUUGAGACUUGGAACCCCAACAACCAGGAGUUCGAAUGCGCCGGCGUCGCCCUCUCUCGCUUAGUCCUCCGCCGCAACGCCCUUCGUAGGCCUUUCUACUCCAAUGCUCCCCAGGAGAUCUUCAUCCAGCAAGGUUAUUAGUUAUUACUACUUUUUCAUAUUGUUAUUGUCAAUGAUUGAAUUUAAUUAUUUGACGGUAAAAAUAAUUUUGUACACUCACUAAACGUACUAACAUUUUACAACAAUUUACGAUUGAGACACAAAAAAAAAAGGCAUAUCUGUAUUUGAGAAUUUUAUUUUUUUUCCAUGAUCUUUGUUUGUUAAUUUCAUUUUGAAUGAACACAUACAGGAAGGGGAUACUUUGGGUUGAUAUUCCCUGGUUGUCCUAGCACAUAUGAAGAGCCUGCACAACAAGGACGCCGAUAUCAGUCCCAAAGACCACCAAGACGUUUGCAAGAAGAAGACCAAAGCCAACAGCAACAAGAUAGUCACCAGAAGGUGCACCGUUUCAAUGAGGGUGAUCUCAUUGCAGUUCCCACCGGUGUUGCUUUCUGGCUGUACAACGACCACGACACUGAUGUUGUUGCUGUUUCUCUUACUGACACCAACAACAACGACAACCAGCUUGAUCAGUUCCCCAGGGUAUAUAUAUGCUCAAAUCUCAUUCGUUAUUUUUGGCAUGUGCAUAUAUCAUGAAUAUUGAGUAUUAGUCUAUUAUUAUUUCUUAUGAAUUCUCAUCAAUAAACCAUGCCACAUUUAUAUAUAAAUGAUCCGUGACAAUUAAUAAUACAUAACAGAGAUUCAAUUUGGCUGGGAACCACGAGCAAGAGUUCUUAAGAUACCAGCAACAAAGCAGACAAAGCAGACGAAGAAGCUUACCAUUAAGCCCAUACAGCCCUCAGCCUGGACAAGAAGACCGUGAAUUUAGCCCUCAAGGACAGCACGGCCGCAGAGAACGAGCAGGACAAGAACAAGAAAACGAAGGUGGAAACAUCUUCAGCGGCUUCACGUCGGAGUUCCUGGCACAAGCCUUCCAGGUUGACGACAGACAGAUAGUGCAAAAUCUAAGAGGCGAGAACGAGAGUGAAGAACAGGGAGCCAUUGUGACAGUGAAGGGAGGCCUCAGAAUCUUGAGCCCAGAUAGAAAGAGUCCCGACGAAGAAGAGGAAUACGAUGAAGACGAAUAUGCUGAAGAGGAGAGGCAACAAGAUAGAAGGCGUGGCAGGGGAAGCAGAGGCAGCGGCAAUGGCAUUGAGGAGACCAUCUGCACCGCAACUGUUAAAAAGAACAUUGGUAGAAACAGAUCCCCUGACAUCUACAACCCUCAAGCUGGUUCACUCAAAACUGCCAACGAGCUCAACCUUCUAAUCCUUAGGUGGCUUGGACUUAGUGCUGAAUAUGGAAAUCUCUACAGGGUUUGUACUUUCUCUUUUUCUAUCUAUUUUUUUAGCAUACUACACUAUUAACAAAAUUUAUCAUUGUUAGUAAGAUUUGGCUAAUACCUUAAACAUUAAGUAUUAAAUUCUAAAUUUUAAAUACUAAAUACUAAUGGUAUAAGAAUAUAAUGUUACUUAACUAUCGAUUAAUAUCGAUAAAAAGUAUUGAUACUGAUAUUUUUCUUUUCUUGUAGUGUUACAUUAGGCAUUCGAUUUGGUUAUCUAUUUACCCAUUGAAAUGUGAUUGCAGAAUGCAUUGUUUGUCCCUCACUACAACACGAACGCACACAGCAUCAUAUAUGCAUUGAGGGGACGGGCUCAUGUGCAAGUGGUGGACAGCAACGGCAACAGAGUGUACGACGAGGAGCUUCAAGAGGGUCACGUUCUUGUGGUGCCACAGAACUUCGCCGUGGCUGGGAAGUCCCAGAGCGAGAACUUCGAAUACGUGGCAUUCAAGACAGACUCAAGGCCCAGCAUAGCCAACCUCGCCGGUGAAAACUCCUUCAUAGAUAACCUGCCGGAGGAGGUGGUUGCAAAUUCAUAUGGCCUCCCAAGGGAGCAGGCAAGGCAGCUUAAGAACAACAACCCCUUCAAGUUCUUCGUUCCACCUUUUCAGCAGUCUCCGAGGGCUGUGGCUUAAAAACGACCAGUAUCUUUUGCAAGCGUGUUAUCCACUACAUACUUUUUGCCACAAAUGAAUAAUAUAAUAAUAAGAAGAAUAAUGUAGUUUUAAUUUUUAGUAUGAAUAAGAAUACAAAGGGGCAUUGAUGCCUUUUUGUUUAAGAUCGGAAUGUAACAUAUGUGCAAUGAGCAGAUAUGGAGAAAACCUUUUGCGGGAAAAACAUGAAUAAUAAAAGAAGUUAUGGUCUCACGCACGCCACAUUUGUCUUUGUAUCCCCCUUUCUUUGUGAUAAAACAAACUUGAAAAGAAUAUCAACAACACAGCAUGCUCUAACAUUUUGAUGUAACUCCGAAAAUCCGAGUAAUUGUUGAGGGUGAGCUAUAAUGAGCUAGGAUUUCUAUUCAAGCACUAUAAGAUCGUGACAAUUCAAUUUUGACAUGCAUGGUAUAUAUAGCUUGCUUAUGAUCAUUGAUGACUUGCUCAUGUAAAUCCAAUUUUUACAAUUUAGAUGGCGAGUUCCUAAAGCCUCGUGAAGUAGUUUAAGUGUUUGACUAUCUCAUCAACAUAUAACUGAGCGUAUUGAUGAGUCGUAAAAACACUUUUUACUGGAAGAAAGUGUGACACUUGGUUAUUUGGUUCACUAUGAUCCAUAUUUUGAUGGUAUGAGCUAGUCUUGUCACAAAAUCUAUGGUGAUUCUUUUCCAUUUCCAUUUUAGUAUCUCGAUUUGCUGGAGUAAAUCCGCAGGCUUUUAAUGUUCAACUUUGAUUUGUUGGCACACUAAGUAUCGUGAUAUAAAGUCACCAAUGUCCCUUUUUAUGCCUUCUCACCAGAAUAACUGUCGCAAAUCCUAAUGUUUUAAUAGAACCAGGAUGUAUAAAAUAGCGAGAGUUAUGAGUUUCCACCAAGAUUGUUUUUCGAAGAUUUUCAAUGUUUGGUACAUACAAUCGUUUACCAAAACGAAGAAUUCCUUCUUGGUCCAAUGUGAAGGUAGAGUUAAUUCCGCUCUUAACAUCACCAAAAAGUUUAAGCAGUUUUAAAUCUUCUUUUUAGAGGGUUUUAAUUCUUUUGAUGAGGGAUGACUGAGCAUUCACAUGAGUAAGAAAAAUUCCAGAUCUUCUAAGUUUGAACAGUAUUCCUUUAACCUCGAGCUGAUGAAUUUCUCCAAUCAGUGGUCUUUAAGCAGCUACGAUGAUAUCAGCUUUUCAUAGGUGAUAAAGGAUUGUACAAUCAUAAUCUUUAAGCAGCUCUAUCCAUCUUCAUUGCCUCAGAUUUAAAUUUUUUUGUUGAAAUAUAUAGUUUAAAUUUUUGUAAUCCGUAUAGAUUUCGCAUGUCUCAUCAUAAACAUAUAGUGUAUUGGAUAGUUUUACUUGCGUUUUUUGAGUUGGCAUGAGACAUGAGCAAUAAUUCGACCAUGUUACGCUAACACACAUUCCAACUCAAAUCGAGAUGCAUCACAGAAGAUGGAGAAACCCGUCCCAGAAGGUGGAACAAGAACGGGUGCUAAAAUGAGGUAAGUAUUGAGCAUCUGGAAGCUAUCAUCACAAGCAUCUGUCCACUAAAAUUUGACAUUCUUUUGGGUUAACUUAGUUAAUGGUGAUGAGAUUUUUAAAAUUUUUUUAUGGAUUGUCAAUAAUAUCUUGCUCGACUAAGAAAACUACGAAUUUCAGUCACAGAAAUUGGUCUUGGCCAUUUUUUAAUGGCUUCAACUUUUUUCGAAUAUAUCAUAAUUUCAUCUUUCGACACCACAUGUCCUAAAAAUACCACUUGAUCUAACCAAAAUUCACACUUAGAGAAUUUGGCAUAAAAUUGGUGCUCUAGAAGGGUUUUCAAUACUCUCCUUAGAUGAUAUUCAUGCUCUUUCACACUUUUGAAGUAUACUAAGAUGUCAUAUAUAAACACAAUGACAAAGUGAUUUAAGAAGGGUUUGAACACUCGAUUCAUUAGGUUCAUAAAAUUAUAAAAAGGUUGCAGGAGUAUUCGUUAAUGCAAAUGACAUUACAAUAAACUCAUAAUGUCCAUAGCAAAUACAAAAAGCGGUUUUGGGAGAUAUCUUCCUGCUUGAUUUUCAAUUGAUGUUACUCCAAAUGUAAAUCGAUCAAAUCAUUGAUUCUAGACAAUGGAUACUUGUUGUGAAUGGUCACUCUAUUAAGUUGUCGAUAAUCUAUACAUAGGUGUAUUGAUCUAUCUUUCUUCUUUAUGAAGAGAACAAGGGCUCCCAAAGAAGAUACGUUAGGACAAAUGAACCCUUUAUUCAACAUAUCUAUAGCUUGGUCUUUUAAUUCUCGCAGCUCUCUUGGUUCCAUACAAUAAAGAGGAAUUGAUAUGCGAUGAGCUUCCGGGAUUAAGUUUAUGGAGAAUUGAAUUUUUCCAUCAGGUGGUAUGCCUGGUAAGUCAUCAGAAAAUACAUCUGAAAAUUUCUUCACCACAGAAAUAUGACCAAUGCUACGCAUCAUGGAUUCAAUGUUUCUAACUACCGCAAGAAACCAUGACACCCUUUGUUUAUCAGGUUCAUGACUUUUUUUUAGAGGAGAGAUGAGUUUGUUUGGGGUCAAGUAUCCAUCACCUUUAAAAGUAAAAGGUAGAAUAUCUAGAACAUUAAACUUCAUUAUUUUAGAAUAAUAAAUCACGUUAACAUGAUAAGCUGCUAGCCAAUCCAUACCUCAAAUGACAUCAAUGUCUUCCAUCGGAUCUAGAAGAAUUAGGUUAUAUUAGCCAAGGUGUCCACAGAGUUUAUAGUAACGAAACAAGAUUGAAACACAAAUUGAACCAUAGUGAAAACUGAGCGGAGUAUCGACUUGGAAGGGGUUGUCUAAUAACACAAGUUGCAUGUUGAAAUGGUUUGCUAGAGUUGGGAAAACAAAUGAAUAAUAAGAACUCGUAUCAAAUAGCACUUGAGCAUCCAAAGAGAAAACUUGUAAAAUAAAGUACCUAUUACAACUGCAUUUGAAGCCUGUGCAUCUUGGUGAAUUAAGGUAUAUACACGUGCUUGUCCUCUACCUCUCUAAUUUGUUCCUUUGCCCCCAGGAUUUCACCCUCCUAUCCCUCUACCUUGGCUAGCAAAGUUUCCAAGAAACGUAGUUGAGUAUGAAGGUGAAGGUGAUGGUGUCGUAGAAUAUGCAUGACCUUAAAUAAUUCCUCCCUGGAACUUGGACUAUCCUUCCUUAGGUGACCAGUUUGAUUGCAUCCAAAAUAUGCACCAAUGGCCUUGAAGCAUACUCCAGAAUGAGGAUGUCCACAUUGUUGGCAGUAUGGUUUGCCAUGCAUAGAUUAAUCACCAGAUUGAUAGGUCCCUCCAGUGAAACUCUUUGAGCCUGAGAGGCUUGUUAGAGGGGUACAGACGGCGCAGCUUCAAUAAUGGGUGCUUGUUGAUUGUCUUGAUGACCUUUAUAACUUGGUCCUCGUCUGAAAUUAAAACCACUAAAGAGCUGUCUUUUUGUCUUAAGCUUCUUAUCUGCUUGUUUAGGAGUGAUUCUUUCACUAUUUAUAACCUCAAUUGCAUAGGUAGAAUCUAGGAUUUUAUUGAAGUUCAUUUGCCAAAUCUCUGGCACUCGAGUAAUAUACAUGGGUUCUUCCAGGCCUCUCACGAACCUACGAACUCUAAUUUCUUCAGAAGGUAUUAAAUAAGAAGCGUUCUUGGAAAGCCUGAAAAUUCUUUAGCAUACUCUGUCACAGUCAUGCUUCGUUGCCUUAAUCUCUCUAUUGCAAUGGCAUCCUCUGCUUGCUUGCUAGCAGGGUGAAAUCUUUCAAUAAAUUUCUUAAUGAAUUCUUCCCAUAUAAGAGUAGGCAGCCCAGUUGCUUCCUUACUUUCAAUAAGGGUCUUGUACCAAUAUCUAGUUAUCACUUGAAGGUUAUAUGAUACUAGCUCAAUAGCGUAAUCUUUUUUGCAUCUAAGGGCUCACAGGAUUUUUCUCACAUCUUCAAGGUAUUGUUGAGGAUCCUCAUCCAGGAAAUCUCCUUUGAAAGUGGAUGAGUUAAUAUUUAGGUAUUGUUUGAAGGUAGGUUUCUUAUCUCUAAAAAUAAAAGGAAACAUUCAUGGAGAAAAAGUUAAGGUGGGUUUGUGUUUGCACACUGCCGUUAGCUCGGUUUGCCAAAAAUUCAACUACAACACACAGAUUAUCAUUAACUGUUCUAAGUUUUGCUACCAAGCUUGCAGGUGUUUCUCUAUUUACUAGAUUUUCUUGUAUUUCUUAUGGAACUAUAUCGGCUUGAGUUAUAUUUUCCAAGUGUUCGUCUUCUUGAAGUACUUUUCAUGUCCUUCUACUGGCUAUUCUUUGACUCGUCCUAGCAUUCGCUCUUGUAAGGGUGAGAGAUUAGUCCUAUUAGAUGUUGUAGUGUUAGGAGCAUGAAUGGCUCCACCAUGCAAUUUAGGUGGCAUCUUUUCACCUAGUAAGCAAAGAAUGUGGUCACAUAAUAUCCAAAGAAAGGACAAGAAUUUUAUCGAAGACACAGAUAUAAGUUUAACUUCCUACAGGCUUUUGGUAACAUCACACUUGUGAAAAUGGGUUAACAACCAUUUGCACAAUCGUAAACUUAUUAAAAGACAUUUGCUCCAUAUUACACAAGAAAAUCUAAACUCUAAUACCAACUUUGUCACAGCCGAAUUUAAGUAGUAACCGGCAAUAAAAAAAAGUUUUCUAAUAAGCCUAUUAAUUGCAUAAUUCUUAAAUGAAUAAUUUAAAUCUGCAUCUAUUAUAUAUCACAAAUACGAGUUUAUAUAUACAAAUAUAUAAUACUAUCAAACAUUAAAGAUAUUGCCUGUAAUAUAUGAAAUAUUAACUAAGAAAUUCAAGGUGUAGUAUAAAUGACAAGGCCCUUGGAAGACAAGGACUCACCAAAAAGCCGAUUUCUACCGAGGGAUAGAAGGAUUAGGACUCUAAUCUAUAUUUAUAUUUAAAAAACAUAUAAUAUUCAAGAAACAUAUAAAAAAAUUUAAAUAAAAUAUUUUGUAACAAAUUAAAAUAUUCUAUAUUAUGUAAUAAAUAUAAAAAUGAAUAAAAUUAUUUAUAUUUAAAUAACCAAAUAAUUAUUAUUGAUGAGUAUUUUAGUCAAAUUGAUUAAAUAAUAUGUUAUUUUACUCUUACAAAAGAGAAAUAUAUUCUGUUCCAAGGUAUUAUUUGAAACUAAGGUGGAUUUGGGUUUGAACGUGAGAUUUAAACGCCUUUGAGUGAGUUCUGACUUAUUUGCUAGGAUGGUGGUUCAAGGUUAUCAAACUCACGAAUCUAAGUAAACUCGUGGAAUUGACUUAGACUUGACUUGUAGACUCGUUCGAGUUUACUUGUUAUGAAUUCUUAUACAUACAUACAUACAUACAUACAUACAUACAUACAUACAUACAUACAUACAUACAUACAUACAUACAUACAUACAUANGGAAUGGUGGUCAAGAAUGGCUAAGAAUUGACUUGCCUAUGAUAAGAGGACAGGUGACGACACAGUAGGUGUAAGACCCGGUUAAUUAACGGCUAAUUAACCUAUAAAUGAGAAUUUAUUCUAGAAAGGAAAAAAUGUUAUUUUUUAUGGCUAAAUGUGAUAGAGGAGAUUGAGACGAGAAUUUCGGUACCAAUUUUAUAGAAAACGGACCAAGAUUGGACCAAACGGGCCAAACCGGACCAACCCUAGUUUUCAGCACUCUCUCUCCUCACAACACACUCAAACAUGCUGAAAUGGUGGAGAGGAAGGGAAGAAAACUCUCUCAACUUCUUUCUCUCACUUGAUCUUCAAACCACCAUAACUUUUGAUCUAGAGCUCCGAUUGUCGCACCGUUUGCGGCCACGCGUUCACCGCAGAGAGCUCUACAAAACCCAUACAAUCAAUCUUGAGGUAAGCUACGUUUUGCUUUUCGAAUUUCCAGCCUUGUUUUCGAGUUUCAUGAGCAAAAAUGUUGAGAUUUUGGGCUCUUUGAUGUUAUAGGACCCAACUCUCUUGAAGGAGAAGAUUAAUCUUGUCUCCUUGGACCUUGAGUAAGGUAAGAUAUCUCAAACCCUAGUGAGAAUGUUGAACUUGUGGUUGUGGGUGUUGAGCUCUUGUGUUUUGGUAUGAUGAUUGUGGCUUAGGUUGUGUAUAUGUGAAUAUUGGAGCUUGAUUGGUGAUUUUGGAAAGCUUGGGAGAGGGUUUUGUGUGACAAAAUCUAUUCUUGGAGGUGUUGAGACCUUGAGAGCUUGAGGAAAAGUGGUUUGGAAGUGCUCUGGUUGAGCUUGGGAAAUCGGCUAAGGUAUGGUUUCGGUUUCCCAUAUCUAUUAUGUAAUGUGGUAGGAAAUACUUAGGCUAGAGGCCCUAAGAUAGGCAUUGAAUUGUUGGUGUUGUUGAAUGGUUGAGAUAUAUGAUGUGUUCAUAUAUGUGAUUAUGAAUAUUGAUGCCUUGAUUGUGUGAUAUAUGAGAAAUGCAUGUUGUGAUAUAUGCUUGAUGGAUGAUUGAGGUUGAAUUGAUGGGUGGUACCAUGUUGAUGGUGAGUAUGAUGUUGAUCAUGUAUAAUGAUGGUUGAUUGGAAAUGGUAUUAUUGGAAAUUGAGAUGAGGAAGGAUGUAUGACAUGAUAUUGUGUUUGUCCUUUAGCCAUUGGAUUGAGAAGUGUUAAAAUGGUUGGAUGUGAUUUUGGGAAUUUUGGUAAAAUAUCAAUGUGUGAGUUGAGGAUGGCUUGAUGUUGAUUUUGGUACAUUUUGAUUGAUUUCAAAGAAAAGGGAUGAAAUUGGCAUGUUUUGAUUGAUUUCGAAAAGAGUUGAAAGUGGCUUGUUUUGAAAAUGGCACUUUAUGGUUUUGUAUGAAAACAUGAUUUUUGGGUAUACUUUGACGGGACAUAACCUGGACUGCGGAUCUCUGUUUUCUGCCAAAUCUAUUUAGAAAUGGAAUUGGAUCCGGGAUGUCCAUGCCGUUCGAAGAACGGGUAAAAAACGAUUUAAAAUGAGAAAGUUAUAUCCGUCAGAAGAUUGGGGGUUGAAUCUGUGAAUUCUGCAGCUUUUAACUUAGAAAAUUUUUAGCAGAAUAACCCCCCGUGCGUUGGCACACUUGGCGCGUACGCAUCGUUCUUCGAGAAAACACCAUCCACGCGUGCGCGUGGUGUGCAUGGGCGCGUCGAUGCGCUGCACCAAAUGCCCAGCCAUUUUCCCGAGAGUUGUGCCAAAGUUGUGCCAGUUUUAUGCCUGGGGCGCAAGAGCACCCACGUGUAUGCGUGGCUGACGCGUGCGCGUCGUUUGGCUAAUUUUCAAUCCGCGCGUUCGCGCGUAUGACACUUGCGCGUCAAUGAGUUUUAAGGCCAUCCACGCGGGCGGGUGGAGUGCGCGUACGCGUGGCCCUAUUUUCAUCCCAAAGUUGAUUUUUGAGUUUUAAAAGCCAAAUUUCAUACUUCUAAGCCUCCAAUCUCACCACUUAUGUCUUAAAUCAUUAUGAUAUGCCUAGCUAUGAGAUAAGGGGCUAGUGAAUGUGGUAACUUGCAAGUGAAGCAAGGGAAAAAUGAAUGAUCAAUGAAGAUCAAAGAUGAUUAUGUAAGAUGUGGAGGAUGGCGGUGGAAGUGCUUGUUAUGCCAUGGGCCGAAGGGCCGUAAUUGUAAAUAAAUUGGCUGGUUAUGGAUUUAACCGUGAGCCGGAUGGCUAGAUUAUCGUCGUGUUACGGCAGAGCCAUGUUUAUGGCUAAGUAUAAAUGCAUAUAUGCUGUUGAAUGAAUUGUGAAUGUUUGCACUUCCACUAUCAGAGAUGAGGGUUUCCCUGGGAGGAAGCAGUGGCUAGCCCCCACGUGCCCCAGGUUGAGACUCGAAGCUUUGUUGACCCUAUGUCGUAAGUGUGGCCGGGCAUUGUGAAAGUCCCGGAUGAGCUCGCCCCCGUAAAUAUUCACCGGUGAGGGUGAUGGAUAUGGAUCAUGAUUAUGAUCAAGUUUAUGAUGAGUAUAACUCGAGUUGGGGAUGCGCGACAGAGGGACAGUCCAAGGUUAGCUACCAGGACUUGUCGGGUUGGCUCUAUAACCGACAGAUGAUAUCAUCAGCCACUAGGGACAGGCAUUCAUCAUAUGCAUACUAUGUGAAUUGUUUGAGAUUGCCUAUUUGACUGCAUAUUACUUGCUAUUUGUCUAAAUGCCUUAAUUGUUCUUACUUGUAUAUCUCUUGUCUGAUAUAACUGUGUUUGCUAUAUUAUACUCCUGCUGGUGGUUGGGAGGUCUAAAGGAAUUGGAAAGGGAAGUAUUAGUUAGACUGAAGAAUCUUUAGUUAGUUGCCACUUACGGUUUAGCUUGUUUAUAAGCUUUGAUAUUAUCUGGAGGAAGUUCUAGGAUUGCCUUCAGCUUUCCUCUAUUAUUAUGUAUUAUAUAUGUGGAAGCUGUUACCAUGCUAGGGACCUCUGGUUCUCACCCAUGUGGAUUUUGUGAUUUUCAGAUGCAGGACGCGAGGCUUCUCGUUGAGGCAUGCCGGAGACUUCUGGAUUAGCGAAGAUCCUUUGUUUUCGGGACUCUGUUUUGGGUUAUAUAUUUUGUUUAGAUACUUUUAUCUCCAUUAAAUAAUACAAACUGUGAUGACUCCUCUUAUAGGAGGUUUUGGAGAAUAGGUUUCUGUAUUUGUGUCCCUUUGGGUUUUCUUUGGGGUUUUCCUUAUUUUAUUAUAUGUAUAUAUUGUUAUGCUCGGACCGGUUAUCUUCGCAGCCGGAUUUUGAGUCUUGAUAUUCCUGUUUUUGACACUCCCUUGUAUAUAUAAUAUCUCGUGUUAGCUUAUCCUUUGCUCGUUACGUUAUCGAUCGGAGUGUUGCGCGUUCGAGUUACGAUUUUUGUUUACCCCUUUUUCUACAAAGGCUCCUAGUUAUAAUUAAUUAUUCAUACUACUAUACGUACUAAAUUUUUGUUUUAGAGGUCGUAAUACCUUGCCAUAUCUGAAUUAUGACUUAAGCAUAAGUCUCUGUAUGGUAGGGUGUUACAUUAUGGUAUCAGAGCAGUUCGUUCCUGUAGAGCCUGAGGAAUGGACUGACUAUACUUCUGUGCAUUCUCUGUGUGUGUGUUAUGUGCUACUAGUAUAUCUGCUUGAUAUAAUUGGCAUAAACGUUCAUGAGCAUGCAUUUGGGACUUUGAAGCACUAGACUUCCGAUAUUGAGACUGAUCAACUUAAUAUCGAUUGUUUGGUGUGUAUAGGGACCAGAUGACGCCUCGUGUACGCGGUAGAGGUCGUGGGAGAGGUCGUACUAAUGCUCGUGCGCCGGAGACUAACCCUAAUGAUCCGGUGAACUUUAUGACUGCGUUGGAGAACAUGGCUGCUGCUAUGCAAGCCACUGCUGAGGCUCUGGGCCAACAGAUGAACAACCAUGGUAAUGACGGAGGUGGAGUUCAGGGCCCGAUGACACUGGAAAACUUUUUGAAGGUUAAUCCCCCGAAGUUCAAGGGAACUACUAGCCCGACUGAGGCCGAUACAUGGUUUCAGGCCAUGGAAUGAGCACUGCAAGCGCAGGUGGUACCUGAAGGGCAGCGUGUAGAGUUCGCUACCUAUUUGCUCACUGGGGAAGCGUCGCAUUAGUGGCAAGGAAUCCGACGCCUCCUGCAGCAGGGUGAUGAUUAUAUCACCUGGGACGUCUUCCAAGAGGAGUUCUAUAAGAAGUACUUUCCGACUUCUGCUAGGACGGCCAAUGAGCUUGAAUUGUUGCAGCUGAAGUAGGGUACUAUGUCCGUAUCUGAGUAUAUGGUGCGGUAUUUUACAACCACACUUACUAACCAGCAAGUGCACCGGGUCGUACCAAGUAAUACCUUACGUGAGUAAGGGUCGAUCCCACGAGGAUUGAUGGACUAAGCAACAAUAGUGUUUGAUAGGCUUAGUUAGACAAACAAAAAUUGGUGUUGAGAUGCAGUAUAAAAGAGAUUAAACAAUAUAAAAAAUAUUGAAGAAAGGCAAGUAAUUAAGUUGAGAGUAAUAUAUGGAGAAGGCAGUUAAGGCUUCAGAGUUAUCUAUUUUCUGGAUUGACUUUUCUUAUUAACUAUUUUAAUUACGCAAGAUUUAAUUCAUGGCAAACUAUUUAUGACUAGACCCUAAUUCCUUAGACCUUCCUAGUCUCCUCUAAAAUUUAUCAACUGCCAAUUCCUUGGUCAAUUAGCUUCUAAUCUAUGAUUUCUGGGCUAAGAACUGGGUCAAAACGGCCCAGAAAUUGCCCCCAGUGUUUUUCUACAUUUUCUGCACGUGGCGCAUGUGACGCGUUCGCGUCGUCCACGCGUUCGCGUCAUUUGUGCAGAUUCCAGUCCACGCGUUUGCGUCAGGCACGCGAUCGCGUCAUUGCGAUUUCCUCCAUUCCGCGCGGUCGCGUGAGCCAUGCGUCCGCGUCGGUAUUCGUUGGUCAUCUCCUUGGCUUCUUCUCUUUCUCUGCAGAAACUCCAUCAAAUUCUGCCAAAUGCUCCCUAAAAUAAACAGUAUUGUACAAAAUUCAAAAUAGCAUCCAUAGUGGCUAAAAUAUAAUUAAUUCUUAAUUAAACUCAACAAAUUAACUGCAAAUUCACUAGGAAAAGAUAGACAAGAUGCUCACGCAUCACAACACCAAACUUAAACUGUUGCUUGUCCUCAAGCAACCAAAACUAAUAUAAGCUUAGGAUGUGAAUUUGCAUGAGAAUGAGAGUUCGAUUAAGCCCAUGUCUUCUCUUAUAGUGGGGUUUACAACUGCAAUCCUGAACAAUUUUGGCAUCUCACUUUAUCCUUUGAAGUUUAGGAUGAUUGGCAUCCAUAGGAACUCAGAAUUCAGAUAGUGUUAUUGAUUUUCCUAGUUCAGUAUGUUGAUUCUUGAACACAGCUACUUUAUGAGUCUUGGCUGUGACCCUAAGCAUUUUGUUUUCCAGUAUUACCACCGGAUACAUAAAUGCCACAGACACAUAACUGGGUGAACCUUUUCAGAUUGUGACUUAGCUUUGCUAGAGUCCCCAGUUAGAGGUGCCCAGAGUUCUUAAGCACACUCUUUUUGCUUUGGAUCACGACUUUAACCGCUCAGUCUCAAGCUUUUCACUUGACACCUUCACGCCACAAGCACAUGGUUAGGGAUAGCUUGAUUUAGCCGCUUAGGCCAGGAUUUUAUUCCUUAGGGCCCUCCUAUCCAUUAAUGCUCAAAGUCUUGGAUCCUUUUUACCCCUUGCCUUUUAGUUUAAAGGGUUAUUGGCUUUUUCUGCUUGCUUUUUUUUUUUCUCUCUUUUUUUCCGCAAGCUUUGUGUUUUUCACUGCUUUUUCUUGCUUCAAGAAUCAAUCUUAUGAUUUUUCAGAUUAUCAAUAACAUUUUUCUUUUUUAUCAUUCUUUCAAGAGCCAACAAUUUUAACAUUCAUAAACUUCACUAUCAAAAAAUAUGCACUGUUUAUGUCAUGCAUUCAGAAUCACAAAAAAUACCACCACAUUUAAGUAAAUCAGACUAUUUUUUAAAAUUAACUCAAUUUCUCAUGCACUACACUUCUUUUUCUUUUCUUUUUAGGUUCAAGUUCAGUGAGUGGUAUAUGAAACAUCUUUUCAGCAUUAAAGCAAUUAAAUGAAAACUAAACUAGUCCUAGGAUUCUAACUAAUAAAGGAUCAUGCAACAAACAAAGAAAAAUAACAGGAAACUGGAACAUAAUAUAGAAAAAGAGGGGAGGAAUAAAAAAUGAAAGGAACUCAACCACCUUAAUUAUCCUAGCGGUCGCUUUAUUCUUCAGGUUGUGCUCCUUCGCGAAGAUGAUUCGCCUCCCUUUUGUACUAGAAAACCUGUAAGCGCGGCGUCAACACCAAACUUAAGGGUUUGCUUGUCCUCAAGCAAAGAAGAACUGAAAAUAGAAAAGAUAAAUAUUAAAAUGAAAAAAAAAAGAAAAAAAAUAAAUAAAUAAAAGGAUAAGAGAAUAAGAGAGAAGUAGGAUUGGGAGAGAGAGAGAAAGAAAACUGGGCGGCACAAGCGACGCGACCGCGUAGGGCAUGCGGUCGCGCGCAUUGCUCUUAUACGGAUUGACGCGAUCGCGUCGGUCACGCGGUCGCGUGACCCAGUUUGUGCUUCUGGCGCGAGUGCAGCCUCGCGCCAGCACAACUCUCUGUUUGAAUUGAUAUAAUUGCCAAAAUUGGGGUGACGCGAUCGCAUGGGGCAUGCGAUCGCGCGAGUGGGCAUUUAAUGGGGUACGACGCGGCCGCGUGGGGCAUGCGGUCGCGUGAAGGGAAUUGCGUGUCCAGCGCCAGUCCAGCACCACUCUAGCACAACUUUCAGCUGUGCACCCGUUUUACGUCAAAAAUCAGGGCACGCGGCCGCGUGGGUCACGCGGUCGCGUGGGAGGCCAUUACGCCCAUACGACGCGGAUGCGUCGGCGACGCGGUCGCGUGGGAUGAAUUGUGCCAUUGGCACGCCUCCAGCCACGCUCCAACGUGACUCUCUGUUCGUUUUUAUUUUUCUCUUCUCCCCUUGCGACGCGGACGCGUCGCUGAUGCGGUCGCAUCGCGUAGCUUUUUUUUUUUUUUUGAAAUAUAGCUUGAGGUGUUCGGUUCCUGGAAGAACAUAGCUGCAUGAUCAGAAAAUUAGUGAGAACUUAAUAAAAAAUAAAAUAAAAUAACUAAGAAAAAUACUACUACGAAAAAAUAAUAGCUAAGGAUACGAAAUUAUCGGGUUGCCUCCCGACAAGCGCUUCUUUAUCGUCAUUAGCUUGAUGGUCAGCUCCUCUAAGGAGGAGGAUCAUAGGGGCUCAGCUCUUUGAACUUUUUUCCUGUGUCUCCAUAACGUAGCUCAAUAUGCUCCAGAGAGAGGAUUCUGAUUACUGUAUAAACCCAUGCUGGAUUGCUGGUCAACACCACCUUCAUUCCUGGGGAGAAACCUUCAGUGGGGAUCUUUUUGUUUCUCCAUCCUCUGGGUAUUUUUUUCUUUUUGGGGACCUCCUCCUUGGUGGAUGAUGCAGUUCCAACACCAAACUUUGGUUUGAUGUCAGGCGGAAUUUUAUCGGUUGUCACCACAGGAGGUUUGAGUUGCAAAUUCUGCUGUGCAUCAUCAGGGAGUUCUUGAAGGUUUGGAUCAAUGAGUUCAGCCUGCAUGCACCUCUCUUCUUCACCUGUUGAAUGUACAUCUUUGAAGACAUGAAAGACCAGUUGCUCAUUAUGCACUCUAAGCACUAAUUCACCCACUUCUACAUCAAUCAGAGCUCUUCCAGUGGCUAGGAAUGGUCUUCCUAGAAUUAUAGAGGCAUUCUCAUCCUCCCCUGUAUCAAGAAUCAUAAAAUCUGCUGGGAGAAAGAACUUACCCACUUUGACCAAGAUAUUCUCCACUAAUCCGUAUGCAGGCUUCAUAGAUUUGUCUGCCAUCUGUAAUGCUAUCUUUGUGGGUUGUGCCUCUUGGAUAUGUAGCUUCUUCAUCACAGAUAAGGGCAUUAGAUUUAUGCUUGCCCCUAGAUCACAUAGGGCUUUCUCAAAGGUUGUGCUCCCAAUGGUGCAUGGAAUUUGAAAGCUCCCUGGAUCUGGCAUCUUCCUUGGUAAGUUAUUCUGAAUGACAGCACUACAUUCCUUAGUCAGGACUACUGUCUCAUCUCCCUUUAAACGCUUUUUCUUUGACAACAGCUCCUUCAUGAACUUGACAUAGAUAGGCAUUUGCUCCAAAACCUCAGCAAAAGGAAUAUUGAUUUGUAACUUUCUGAAGAUUUCCAAGAACUUUGAAAACUGCUUGUCCUUGGUCUCCUUUUGAAGUCUCUGAGGAUAUGGCAUCUUAGGCUUGUACUCAGGAGCCUUUGGCUGUGUAGGAUAAGUGUCAAGAGAGUCUGGGAAUGGGUUGUCUGCACGCUUUGGAGGGGCGUGCUCUACUUCUUCCUUCUUCUCAUCUGGAGCUUCUUUUUCAACUACAUCUUUAUUGACCUUGGUCUCAGAGCCAGCUACCUUACCACUUCUCAAUUGAAUAGCCUUGCAAUCUUCUCCUGGGUUCACCACUGUAUCCUCUUGAAAUGUACUUGCAGACCUCUCAAGUAUUUGCUUGCUCAGUUGGCCCACUAGCACCUCUAAGUUUCUAAUAGAGGAUUUGGUUUCUUGUAUAACUUGUGCUUCCGUACUUGCCACUUGUUCACUUAUUACAGUGAUAGCCUUGCAUUCCUCUCUUGGAUUUGGAAUUGUGUUACCAGGAAGGCUGUUAGUGGUCCUCUGAUCAAUUUCAUUAACCUUUGUGGCUAAUUGACCCAUUUGAAUUUCCAGGUUCUUGAUGGAUGCUCUGGUUUCCUGUCUAAAACCUGUCAAUAUUGCUUCUAAAUCAUUGUUCUGCUGGAAACCGCCCUGAGAACUAUUGUUGAAGUUCUGAGGUCUCUGAGGUUGGUCCCUCCACCCAAAGUUUGGGUGAUUUCUCCAUCCCGGGUUGUAUGUCUUAGAAUAUGGAUUAUUGUUGGGAUUCCUAGGACCACUCCCCAUGUAAUUCACCUGUUCAUAAUAAGGUUGAGCAUAAUCAUGAUUAUAAUUUUGAAUAAAAUUACCUGCCAUGUCAUAGGAGAUUUCUUGGGGUGGAUUUUGAGUGUUGAUAGCUGAGACUUGCAUGCCACCCAUCUGUUGAGUAAGUAGAUUUAUCUGUUGAGACAUAAGCUUGUUCUGAGCAAGAAGGGCAUUAAUAGCUUCCACUUCCAAUACGCCUCUCUUCUGAGCGGUCUCAGAGUUCACAGGAUUCCUGUUAGAUGAGUAGAGAUAUUGGUUGCUUGCAACUAAUUCAAUCAGCUCAAUAGUCUCCUCUGGUGUCUUCUUCUUGUGCAAUGAACCGCCUGCAGAGGUAUCUAAGCUCAUCUUUGACAUCUCUCCUAAGCCUUCAUAAAAGAUAUCCAGUUGGGUCCACUUGGAGAACAUGCCAGGAGGGCAUUGCCUAGUCAGUAGCUUGUAUCUCUCCCAAGCUUCAUAAAGAGUUUCACCCUCCUUCUGUCUGAAAGUCUGAACCUCCAACCUAAGCUUAGUCAGCUUCUUUGGUGGGAAAAAUUUAGUGAGAAAUUCAGUAACGACCUUUUCCCAAGUAUUCAGACUCUCCUUUGGUUGGGAGUCUAGCCAUAGCUUUGCUUUAUCCCUCAGAGCAAACAGGAAAAGCAUGAGUCUGUACACCUCUGGAUUCACUCCAUUUGUCUUCACAGUAUCACAUAUCUGCAGAAAAUCAGAAAUAAAUUGAUUUGGAUCUUCAUGAGGAAGUCCAUGAUACUGGCAGUUUUGUUGCACCAGGGUGACCAAUUGUGGCUUCAACUCAAAGUUGUUUGCAGUUAUAGGAGGCACCACAAUGCUUUUUUCAUAGAGAUCCGCAGUAGGGGCAGAAUAAGAGCCAAGCACUCUCUUCUGUUGAUCAUCCCCAUUCGGAUUUACCACAUUGGCAUUAGCAUUAUUAUUUGCCAUGGUGGAUUCUGCAGUCUUGCAAAGUCUUGCUUGUUGUAAACGUCGCCUGAAAGUUCUUUCAGGUUCAGGGUCAAAGUCUAAGAGAUGUUCUUUGUCUCUGUUCCUGCGCAUACACAAGCAGAAAACAAGAAAAAAUGGGACUCUCUACGUCAGAGUGCAGAGAAGUCCCUGUGAUGUAACCUGUGUACAAUAAUAAAAUAAAACUACUAAAUAAAUAAAUAAAUAAAUUCAAAAAUUAAAAAAAAAUAAACAGAAAAAUAAAAUUAACUGGGUAACACCAAACUUAAAUUCAGAAAUAAUUUUUUUUAGACAAAAAUAAAGUAAAACUAAAAAAUUAUAGAAAAUAAAAAAUAUAAUAAAAGAAAAACAAAAUAACACGAAAGUAAAUAAAUAAAAAAAUGGAAUUAAAAAGAAAAAUAAAUAAAGGAAAGAACGACGAGAUUUGAAUAAGAAAAAAAAACGAAAUUAAAAGGAAGUAAGAAAAGAAAAAAAAAAAGAAAACAGGGGAUACGGGAUAUGGGAAAUAUUAACGCAAAGAAAGAAAAAAAUGAAAAAUAAAAUAAAAAAAAAUAAAAAAUAAAAAUACUAAAGGAAUAUAAUUAAAGAAAAAAAAUAUCUAAUCUAAGCAAUCAAAGAACGAGUAGUUGUCAAUCACAGUCAAUUUCCCGGCAACGGCGCCAAAAAUUUGGUGCGGUAUUUUACAACCACACUUACUAACCGGCAAGUGCACUGGGUCGUACCAAGUAAUACCUUACGUGAGUAAGGGUCGAUCCCACGAGGAUUGAUGGACUAAGCAACAAUAGUGUUUGAUAGGCUUAGUUAGACAAACAAAAAUUGGUGUUGAGAUGCAGUAUAAAAGAGAUUAAACAAUAUAAAAAAUAUUGAAGAAAGGCAAGUAAUUAAGUUGGGAGUAAUAUAUGGAGAAGGCAGUUAAGGCUUCAGAGUUAUCUAUUUUCUGGAUUGACUUUUCUUAUUAACUAUUUUAAUUACGCAAGAUUUAAUUCAUAGCAAACUAUUUAUGACUAGACCCUAAUUCCUUAGACCUUUCCUAGUCUUCUCUAAAAUUUAUCAACUGCCAAUUCCUUGGUCAAUUAAUUCCAAUUAGAGGGUGAUGAUCGAAUCCUAGUUUAUAUGCCACAAGAAUCCUAAUUAUUCAAAGAUAAAGGGAUUAUAUGUCACGUAUCCCGUUAAAUACAAACAAUUAGAAAUUCAGGAUAAUAUGUUUUCAAGCUAUUGUUCAAGUAAAGAGCUUUUCCAAGUUUUACAAGAACUCAAAUAGAACAUGGGUCAUACUUCCGUUCCACCCAAAUUCAUAAAGUAAAGAACAAAAACAAUUAUUGAAAUAUAAAUCAAAACAUGAAUUAAAAUAGAAAAAUAAUAUUAUCAAUCCAUACAAUAGACAGAGCUCCUAACCUUAACAGUGGAGGUUUAGUUGCUCAUGGAAAAGAGAAAAUAAGGAUUCAGGUAAGAAUGUACCGCCUUCCAAUCUGAUGGCAUCAGAUCUCUUUUUAUAACUAAUCCUAAUAAAUUUAAAAUCUAAUAUUUAAAAUUAAACUUAAAAUAAUAUCUUUUCCUACUUUAAGAUUUGAAUUUAAAUUUGAAUUAAUUAAUAGAUCUUCAGUUGAUGGGUGGGGACCACUUGAUUUGUCCAUUCUGCAGCUUCUAAUCUGUGAUUUCUGGGCUAAGAACUGGGUCAAAACGGCCCAGAAAUCGCCCCCAGCGUUUUUCUACAUUUUCUGCACGUGGCGCAUGUGACGCAUCCGCGUCGUCCACGCGUUCGCGUCAUUUGUGCAGAUUCCAGUCCACGCGUUUGCGUCAGGCACGCGAUCGCGUCAUUGCGAUUUCCUCCAUUCCGCGCGGUCGCGUGAGCCAUGCGUCCGCGUCGGUAUUCGCUGGUCAUCUCCUUGGCUUCUUCUCUUUCUCUGCAGAAACUCCAUCAAAUUCCGCCAAAUGCUCCCUAAAAUAAACAGUAUUGUACAAAACUCAAAAUAGCAUCCAUAGUGGCUAAAAUAUAAUUAAUUCUUAAUUAAACUCAACAAAUUAGAUGCAAAUUCACUAGGAAAAGAUAGACAAGAUGCUCACGCAUCAGUAUGCUGACAAGUUUGAGGAGCUGUUCAGAUUCUCUCGUAUGUGUCAAGGGACUCCGGUGGAAUAUGAGGAAUGGAAGUGUGUUAAGUACGAAGGAGGACUCCGGAGCGAUAUUUUCAGUUCAGUGGGACCAAUGGAGAUUAGGACUUUCUCCGAAUUGGUGAACAAGUGUAGGGUUGCUGAAGAGUGUGUGAAGAGGGCAGCCGCUGAGAAAGGAAGUCACAAAGGAUCAUUCCCACAGAACCGAAGGAAGAGCUUUGCACCUAGAGGUCCACCUUUUAAGAGGGGAGGUUCUUUUAGGAGGCCCAACAACAACAACAACUCCCAAGGGAAAAAGUUUGGGAAGCAGCCUCAGAAUGAUCAAGCUUGUACUAGGUGUGGAAGUCACCAUCCGGGAGCACCAUGCAAGGCCAGAUGGGAUUUGUGCUACAAUUGUGGAAAGGCGGGGCAUAAAGCCACUAGUUGUCCGGAGAAACAAAAGCAAGGUGCUGGGAAAGCACAACAGACUGGUCGAGUGUUCACCACCUCAGCUGUGGGUGCAGAGGGAUCCGAGACACUCAUUCGAGGUAACUGUGAAAUGGCUGGUCAAACUUUAAAUGCUUUAUUUGAUUCGGAAGCAUCGCAUUCAUUCAUUGCAUUUGAGAAAGCCCAUGAGUUAGGAUUGAAGAUCGUAACCUUAGGUUAUAACUUAAAAGUGUAUAAUGCUACCCAUGAAGCCAUGGUAACUAGGCUAGGAUGCCCGAAAGUUUCGUUUAGAUUCAAGCAGCAUCAUUUUGUCCAUAAUUUAAUCUGCUUACCGAUGAUCGGUCUUGACCUUAUCUUGGGAUUGGACUGGUUAUCUGAGAACCAUGUCCUGCUUGAUUGCUCUACAAAGUCGGUGUACUUUAUGCCGGAAGAUACAGAAGGGCCAGUCGUGGUGAAUAAUUAUUACUUGAAUUCGAUGAUGGUGAACUGUUCUGGAAUCGAAUGUCAGGGUAUCCUGUUGUUAACCGCUGGUGUUUUGGGUGAUGAUCAACGGUUGGAUCAGAUUCCGGUAGUGUGUGAGUUUCCGGAAGUGUUUCCCAAUGAUAUUGAGGAAUUUCCACCUAACCGAGAGGUCGAGUUUGCUAUUGAGUUGGUGCCUGGGUCGGGACCAAUCUCAAGUGCUCCUUAUAGGAUGUCACCGUUAGAGAUGGCCGAGCUAAAGUCUCAGUUAGAGGAAUUGCUGGGUAAGAACUUUAUCCGACCAAGUGUUUCCCCGUGGGGUGCUCCAGUGUUACUAGUAAAGAAGAAAGAUGGAAGUAUGCGGCUCUGUGUGGAUUACAGGCAGCUGAACAAGGUCACCAUAAAGAAUAAGUACCCAUUGCCGAGGAUUGAUGAUCUCAUGGAUCAGUUACAAGGAGCUGGGGUUUUCUCUAAGAUCGAUUUGCGAUCCGGUUAUCACCAGAUAAGGGUGAGGGGUGAGGAUAUCCUUAAGACCGCUUUCAGGACUCGUUAUGGUCAUUACGAGUAUACUGUAAUGUCUUUUGGGUUGACGAACGCUCCUGCAGUGUUUAUGGAUUACAUGAAUAGAGUGUUCCGUCCGUUUCUGGAUAAAUUCGUUGUUGUCUUUAUUAACGACAUACUGAUUUACUCCAAGACUGAAGAAGAGCAUGCAGAACACUUGCGGACCGUGUUGCAAAUUCUAAAGGAGAAGAAACUCUAUGCGAAAUUGUCUAAGUGUGAGUUUUGGAAGGAUGAGGUGAAGUUUUUGGGUCACGUGGUGAGUAAGAAGGGAAUAGCCGUAGAUCCAACUAAGGUAGAAGCUGUGAUGGAUUGGAGGCAACCAACUACAGUAACUGAGAUAAGGAGUUUUAUGGGUUUAGCUGGCUAUUACCGAAGGUUCAUCAAAGGAUUUUCGCAAUUAGCCUUGUCGUUGACAAAGUUAACUCGCAAAGACACUCCGUUUGUUUGGACUCCUGAGUGCGAGGAGAGCUUUCAGGCAUUGAAGAAAAAGUUAACCACUGCACCUGUGUUAGUGUUACCUGAGCCGAACGAGCCUUUUGAGGGGUACUGUGAUGCCUCAUUAAAGGGUCUAGGAUGCGUGCUAAUGCAGCAUCAUAAUGUGGUGGCGUAUGCCUCACGACAGUUGAGACCUCACGAAGUUAGUUACCCUACGCACGAUUUGGAACUCGCUGCGGUUGUGUUUGCCUUGAAGGUGUGGAGACAUUAUCUCUAUGGGGUUAAGUUCCAAGUCUUCUCUGAUCACAAGAGCUUGAAAUAUCUCUUUGAUCAGAAAGAGCUUAAUAUGAGGCAAAGGAGGUGGAUGGAAUUAUUGAAAGACUACGACUUUGAGUUGAAUUACCAUCCGGGGAAGGCAAAUGUAGUGGCAGAUGCGUUAAGUCGGAAGUCGUUAUAUGCGGCUUGGAUGAUGCUUCAAGAGGAGAAGUUGCUCAAGGGAUUCGAGAGUCUAAAAAUUGGUGUUCGAGAAGUAUCUGGAACCUUGUGGUUGAGCCGAUUAGAAAUCUCGAGUGACUUUAAGUCCGAACUCCUAAAGGCUCAUGAAAAUGAUGAAGCAUUAUGGAAGGUGUUACCGGCUAUCGAGCAAGGAAAACAGAGGAGAGUGUCGGAAGAAAAAGAUGGGUUAUGGAAAUUCAAGGGUAGGAUCAUUGUGCCGGAUGUUGGUACUUUGAGGCAAGAUAUCUUAAAGGAGGCACACAAAAGCGGAUUCUCCAUUCACCCGGGAAGGGAUUGCCAAGGACUAUGACUGGUUUUGAUGCUAUCUGGGUGAUUGUGGACCGUCUGACGAAGUCAGCUCACUUUUUGCCCGUUCGGAUGACUUACACCCUUGAGGAGCUAGCACGGUUAUACAUAAAGGAGAUUGUGAGGUUUCAUGGUGUACCUGCUACUAUAAUCUCUGAUAGAGAUCCUCGUUUCACUUCGAGGUUCUGGGGUGCAUUUCAGAAAGCUUUUGGAACCCGAUUAAGCUUGAGUACAGCGUACCAUCCUCAAACAGAUGGUCAAUCCGAGAGGACGAUCCAAACCCUAGAGGAUAUGUUGAGAGCUUGUGUUUUGGACCAACCGGUGAGUUGGGAUCGGUAUAUGCCGUUAGUGGAGUUUGCAUACAAUAAUAGUUACCAUGCAAGCAUCGGAAUGGCUCCGUAUGAGGCAUUGUAUGGGAGGAAAUGUCAAUCUCCGCUAUGUUGGUAUGAAGCUGGAGAAAAAGGCUGGUUGGGGCCGGAAAUGAUAGCUGAGACCACAGAACAAGUCAAGAAAAUCCGAGAUAGAAUAAUUACGGUGCAGAGUCGCCAGAAGAGUUACGCCGAUCAGAGGCGGAAGCCCUUGGAAUUUGAGGCAGGAGAUCAUGCUUUCCUGAAGGUUACUCCGACCACAGGAGUAGGUAGAGCGAUUAAAGCAAAGAAGUUGAAUCAUUGAUACAUUGGUCUAUUUCAGAUCCUGGAGAGGAUUGGGCCGGUGGCGUAUCGGGUGGCUCUACCACCUCAUCUUUCGAACCUGCACGAUGUGUUUUACGUGUCACAGCUUCGGAAGUACACUCCUGAUGCUAGCCAUGUGUUAGAACCUGAAUCAGUUCAGUUAAGAGAAGAUUUGACGCUUCCAAUGGCUCCAGUUAGAAUUGACGAUACUAGUAUCAAACGGUUGCGUGGAAAAGAGGUUUCAUUAGUCAAAGUGGCUUGGAGUCGAGGCGGUGUUGAGGAACACACUUGGGAACUUGAGUCGGAGAUGCGAACGGAUUAUCCGCAUUUAUUCUCAGGUAAUUGAAUUUGAAUUUUGUGGGCAAAAUUCUCAAUUAGGCGGGUAGAAUGUAAGACCCGGUUAAUUAACGGCUAAUUAACCCAUAAAUGAGAAUUUAUUCUAGAAAGCCAAAAAUGUUAUUUUUUAUGGCUAAAUGUGAUAGAGGAGAUUGAGACGAGAAUUUCGGUACCAAUUUUAUAGAAAACGGACCAAGAUUGGACCAAACGGGCCAAACCAGGCCAACCGGACCCAAAGUGGGCCCUUGGCCCAACUAAACUAAACCAAAACUCUAGUUUUCAGCACUCUCUCUCCUCACAACACACUCAAACACGCUGAAAUGGUGGAGAGGAAGGGAAGAACACUCUCUCAACUUCUUUCUCUCACUUGAUCUUCAAACCACCAGAACUUUUGAUCUAGAGCUCCGAUUGCCGCACCGUUUGUGGGCACGCGUUCACCGCAGAGAGCUCUACAAAACCCAUACAAUCAAUCUUGAGAUAAGCUACGUUUUGCUCUUCGAAUUUCCAGCCUUGAUUUCGAGUUUCAUGAGUAAAAAUAUUGAGAUUUUGGGCUCUUUGAUAUUAUAGGACCCAACUCUCUUGAAGGAGAAGAUUAAUCUUGUCUCCUUGGACCUUGAGUAAGGUAAGAUAUCUCAAACCCUAGUGAGAAUGUUGAACUUGUGGUUGUGGGUGUUGAGCUCUUGUGUUUUGGUAUGAUGAUUGUGGCUUAGGUUGUGUAUAUGUGAAUAUUGGAGCUUGAUUGGUGAUUUUGGAAAGCUUGGGAGAGGGUUUUGUGUGACAAAAUAUGUUCUUGGAGGUGUUGAGACCUUGAGAGCUUGAGGAAAAGUGGUUUGGAAGUGCUCCGGUUGAGCUUGGGAAAUCGGCUAAGGUAUGGUUUCGGUUUUCUGUAUCUAUUAUGUAAUGUGGUAGGAAAUACUUAGGCUAGAGGCCCUAAGAUAGGCAUUGAAUUGUUGGUGUUGUUGAAUGGUUGAGAUAUAUGAUGUGUUCAUAUAUGUGAUUAUGAAUAUUGAUGCCUUGAGCCUUGAAUAUNNNNNNNNNNNNNNNNNNNNNNNNNNNNNNNNNNNNNNNNNNNNNNNNNNNNNNNNNNNNNNNNNNNNNNNNNNNNNNNNNNNNNNNNNNNNNNNNNNNNNNNNNNNNNNNNNNNNNNNNNNNNNNNNNNNNNNNNNNNNNNNNNNNNNNNNNNNNNNNNNNNNNNNNNNNNNNNNNNNNNNNNNNNNNNNNNNNNNNNNNNNNNNNNNNNNNNNNNNNNNNNNNNNNNNNNNNNUGGUUUUGUAUGAAAACAUGGUUUUUGGGCGUACUUUGACGGAAGAUAACCUAGACUGCGGAUCUCUAUUUUCUGCCAAAUCUAUUUAGAAAUGGAAUUGGAUCCGGGAUGUCCAUGCCGUUCGAAGAACGGGUGAAAAACGAUUUAAAAUGAGAAAGUUAUGUCCGUCGGAAGAUUGGGGGUUGAAUCUGUAAAUUCUGCAGCUUUUAACUUAGAAAAUUUUUAGCAAAAUGACCCCCCGCGCGUAGGCGCACUUGGCGCAUACGCGUCGUUCUUCGAGAAAACAUCCACGCGUGCGCGUGGUGUGCGCGGGCGCGUUGAUGCGCUGCACCAAAUGCCCAGCCAUUUUCCCGAGAGUUGUGCCAAAGUUGUGCCAGUUUUGUGCCUGGAGCGCAAGAGCACCCACACGUACGCGUGGCUGACGCGUGCGCGUCGUUUGGCUAAUUUUCAAUCUGCGCGUUCGCGCGUAUGACGCUUGCACGUCAAUGAGUUUUAAGGCCAUCCACGCGGGCGCGUGGAGUGCGCGUACGCGUGGCCCUGUUUUCAUCCCAAAGUUGAUUUUUGAGUUUUAAAAGCCAAAUUUCAUACUUCUAAGCCUCCAAUCUCACCACUUAUGUCUUAAAUCAUUAUGAUAUGUCUAGCUAUGAGAUAAGGGGCUAGUGAAUGUGGUAACUUGCGAGUGAAGCAAGGGAAAAAUGAAUGAUCAAUGAAGAUCAAAGAUGAUUAUGUGAGAUGUGGAGGAUGGCGGUGGAAGUGCUUGUUAUGCCAUGGGCCGAAGGGCCGUAAUUGUAAAUAAAUUGGCUGGUUAUGGAUUUAACCGUGAGCCGGAUGGCUAGAUUAUCGCCGUGUUACGGCAGAGCCAUGUUUAUGGCUAAGUAUAAAUGCAUAUAUGCUGUUGAAUGAAUUGUGAAUGUUGAAAGGGAAGUAUUAGUUAGACUGAAUAAUCUUUAGUCAGUUGCCACUUACGGUUUAGCUUGUUUAUAAGCUUUGAUAUUAUCUGGAGGAAGUUCUAGGAUUUCCUUCGGCUUUCCUCUAUUAUUAUGUAUUAUAUAUGUGGAAGCUGUUACCAUGCUGGGGACCUCUGGUUCUCACCCAUGUGAAUUUUGUGAUUUUCAGAUGCAGGACGCGAGGCUUCUCGUUGAGGCAUGCUGGAGACUUCUGGAUUAGCGAAGAUCCUUUGUUCUCGGGACUCUGUUUUGGGUUAUAUAUUUUGUUUAGAUACUUUUAUCUCCAUUAAAUAAUACAAACUGUGAUGACUCCUCUUAUAGGAGGUUUUGGAGAAUAGGUUUCUGUAUUUGUGUCCCUUUGGGUUUUUCUUAUUUUAUUAUAUGUAUAUAUUGCUAUGCUCGGACCGGUUAUCUUCGCAGCCGGAUUUUGAGUCUUGAUAUUCCUGUUUUUCACACUCCCUUGUAUAUAUAUAAUCUCGCGUUAGCUUAUCCUUUGCUCGUUACGUUAUCGAUCGGAGUGUUGCGCGUUCGAGUUACGGUUUUUGUUUACCCCUUUUUCUACAAAGGCUCCUAGUUAUAAUCAAUUAUUCAUACUACUAUACGUACUAAAUUUUUGUUUUAGAGGUCGUAAUACCUUGCCAUCUCUGAAUUAUGACUUAAGCAUAAGUCUCUGUAUGGUAGGAUGUUACAGUAGGUGCUGCUUUGACUAAUGGUUAGUGUUAAUGAAUGCCUUAGGCUCGUGUAAAGGAUAGUAACUUGCGGGAGUUUACUAUAGAGAAGACUUGUAAUUACGUCACCCAAAAAAUACCUUUUACAUUUGGGCUUUGCAAGUAAGUGGACAAAUUUAAAUAAAUUGUUAUGGUUUUUAUUAUUUCUAAUACUGGUAUAAUAUAAGUGGUUAUGGAUUUGUGAAACAAAAUAUCUUGUCGAUUUAUUGAAGUCAGUGAUGAAACCAUAUUUGAUGAUAAAUUUUGAAUUGAUUUGAGUGGAUUUCAUCAUACAAACCAAUAUUUAUUCACCUAAAUAGCAUGCUUUUGUGCUUUCUCUUUAAAUUAUGUCCAAUCUUGAAAACAUGCUAUUUUGCGCUUAAUUUGAUCAAUUUUAUUCCACUUUCAUUCUAUUCGAUGCCUUGAUGUUUUGAUGAGUGAUUGUAGGAGUAAUAGGUUAGAAUGGCUUGAUAAGGGUGGAAAGAAGCAUGCAAUUAGGAGAAAACAUGAAAGAAACAAAGGAGAAGCACACAGCCAAGUGUGCGUACGCACAACUUUCUGUGCGUACGCACAAGUGCAGAAAUCAGCAUGUGUGCGUACGCACAAGUCCCUGCACAUGACUUCAUUAAAAAGUCACAUGGCUCGCGAUUUGGGAGGCUUUUUGGCCCAAUUCUGAAGGGUUUGAAGCUUAUAAAGGAGGGGCUAGCAACCAUACAACCUAACAACUCAUACCAUACAUUAUACAACACACUUAGGAUAGUUUUAGGUAGUUUAGUUUAGGUUUUUCUCUCAAUUUUUCUUAAGAUGUAAUUAAGGUUUUUGCAUUCUCCAAUUUUGAUCUUGGUCUCUAGCUUAUUUUCAUUGUAAGUAUUUCUUAAUUUUCUCUUUUAUUACACUACUUGUUCUACACUUUCUUAUAUUUUAAUUUCCUUCAUCAAUACAUAUAUACUUUUGCAAUUUUGAGUUUUGAUUAAUGAAUUUGAUGUUUAGUGAUUUUUAUAUGUUUAUUGAGUUGCCAUUGUUGAUUUUAUUCUUUUGUGGUUCAUAGUUUUUUAUCAAUUUCUGAAUUUUGCCAUGUUUUAUGAUUAUGCCCACCAUGUGUUUGAUGAAAUACCAAUUUUGAUUAUGGGAAAAAUUUCCACGCCUUGGCAUAGGAAAAUGAGUAUAUGGAAUACUAGAGUCAUAAUGUCCGACAUUUAGUGAUAAUUCUUGGGUUGUUAGAUGUUAUUGUUUCCACUAACGCUAGUUUUUUACCAAGGUAAUUAGUAAGUUAGCUAGGAUUUAUGGAUUAAUAACAAUUAUGCUCACUUGACUUAUUCUUUGAUGUUAAGGGUUGACUUGGUGAGAUUAAUCCAUCAUAAUUAUCAUAGUUGUGGUUAUGGCAAGGAAGGAAUUCCAUAACUCAUCCCAAGUCAAGGCUUCCAUUUAUGUUUUGAACCACCUUUCCAUCUUUUUAAGCUUUACUUGUUCAUACCAUAUAGAUAGUUCUUUAAUUCCUUUAUUAGUUUAUUAAUUAUAAUUUUGAUCAUUCUUUAAUUCCUUUAAUCGUUUGCCUCACUAUUGAAAACCCUUUGAUUUUCACAACCAAAAUUGUGCACUUGUUGUCACUAGUUCCUAGGGAGAACGACCUGAAGUUUUAUUACUCUCGGUUAUUUUAAUUUGAAUUAAACUUUGAUUGAUGAGAUUUAAUUGCCAGAUUGGACUAUGCUACUGACGAAGUGAUUCGUGUUUUGAGAAAUUUUAAACCGGCACAAAAUCUCACUCAUCAAGUUUUUGGCGCUGUUGCUAGGGAGCUAGUGCAAUUGAGUGCCAUAAUUUUGAUUGUUGUGCAUAUGUGAAUAGUGUGAAUAGAUACUUUUUGGGUUGUUUGUUUGCUUUUGUAAGUAAUUAGGAUUUUGUUUCUUUUGUUACUUGAUGUCUUUUGUUUUUAUUUUCUAUUUUUCUUUAUGAGUUAUCACUCUCUUUACUUGGAGAACAGUUAUGAUCAUUUUGUAGGGCUUGAUAACUUCAAUUUUGGAUUGCAUUAUGGAAUGGAAAAUUCAAUUGAGGAAGGCGCAAUCUCCUCCUUAUUACAAUGAGUCAAACCCUCCCCAAUAUGCAUACCCAAACCAAGGAUAUGGUGGAUUUCCCAAUGAUUACAUACUUCCACCACCAUAUACCUAUGACCCAUACCCCCAACAUAAUUCUCAAUCACCACAUUUUCAAACACCACACCAAUACCAUCAUCCACCUCCUUACAUACCAUCUCAAGAUACUCAUCAACGUGAACUACCUCCCACAUAUACAACCUUCCUCCCAAACAAUGAAACCCCUUUUUCACCACAAUGUAAAAUUCUCCAAUCCUUGACCCAAGAGCAACAAGACCUUCAAGUCUUUCUCUAAGAGCAAGAAGAACUUCGAAGGACACAAGGAAAACUCAUGUCUACCAUAGCCGAGGCAGUGAACCGUUUAGUCCUUCUACGCUCAUCCGAUCAAGGCACUCCUCUUGAAGAAUGUGAAGGACCAACUAAAGAAUGGAGUGAAGAGGAGAACAUGAAGCCUCAGGUGGAAGAAGAGGAGCUAAGGUUGGAACCGCAACAAGAGGAGGAAAGUGGGAUGAGUGAACCGGAAGAGGUAGAGGGAGAAUUGAGGAAGAUUGAUCUAGAUGUGGAUUCCAUCAUCGACAAUUUUUUGUCCACAUUGGUCAAUCCCCUUAAUGAUCUUAAUGAACCUCUUCCCAUUAAGUUUGAAAGAGAUACGGAGGUAGACUUCUCACAACCUCCUUCUUAUGAUUUGAGUGAUGGGGAAGAGGAAGUUGGUGAGGAAUCAAUUCCGUUCCAAGAGCAUAUUGAGUGGGUGGCUGAUAAACCACUAUUUUAUGGUUUAUCUUGUGCUCAAUUGAGUGGAUUUUAUCAACUCUUUACCCACUUAUUCAUACUAUUUGCAUGAGUUUACAUUCUCAUUCUUGAUUUUGUGAUAUGAUUGAAAACAUGCUUCUUUGGCCUUAAGUUCCCUACGUUUAAUCCUCUCUUAUUACCAUUAGAUGCCUUGAUAUGUGUGUUAAGUGAUUUCAGAGAUUAGUGGCAGUUUCACCGAUGAACUUCAUUGGCCCCAUCAAUAUGCUAUCUUGGAGACGGAUUACCAACCUAAGGUUCUUCUUGGGUUGGUACAUGGUGGAGAAAGGGGUGUUGGUUGCCAUGUGAAUCCAAGGUUCUUCAAGAAAACCAUUUCAAGAGUUGGAGUUCAAGUGGGAUGCAAGGCACAAUUAUGUGAUUUCCAGAGAGUGUUGGGUUACUUCAAGGGUAAUUUAAGAGUUUGUCCAUCCGACUUGAAGCAUAGAGAUCAACAAGAAGGAGAAUGGGAAACUAGAAUAUAGGAUCCCGGAGGAGCUUUGAAGUGCAAGCUUGGAUGGAGAUUCAAGGAGGAGUGGAAACAUAAGCCACCCUAACAAGAGUCUCCUCAAAAAGUCUAACUUAAGGACUUUAAAUAAAAGUGGUAGUUGGGAGACACCCCACUAUGGUAACAUUGUUUCAACCCUUCUCUUUGUUUAUAAUUUGCCUUAACUGCAUUUUUGUUUGUCUUAGCUAGAUUAGGAUUAGUUUAAUUUUGAGCAUAGGUAGGUUGAUUUUCAUAUGGAUCAUAAAUUUAUGGAUUUCUGGAUGUUUUGGGUUGAAAUUUGUGUUGAGCUAAGGAUUAAGGGACUUAGAAAUUAAGAAAUUUUUUUUUUUGGAAAAACAAGGCAUUGUGCGUGCGCACACAGUUGUGCGUACUCACACAAUCACUGAAUUCUGCGUCCUGUGCGUACGCCGCACACUUGUCUUCACAGCCCCUGUUGGGAGCGCUCGCACGCUUUUGUGCGUGUGUGCAUCCCAGUUUUUGCUCCUUGUAUGUGCACACAAGCUUGUGCGUACGCACAAAAACCCCAAAUUCCUCAUUUUGUGUAUACGCACACUCAUUUGCAUCCCUUCUGUUGGAAGCGCUCGCACCUCUCUGUGCGUGCGCACCUUGGCCUUUUUGCUCUCUGUGCGUAUGCACACAUGCUUGCGCAGGCACACAUGAUCUGUAAAAAAAAAAAGUCUUCUGUGCGUAUGCACACCUUUGUGCGUACGCACACAUCUUAAUUCCCUCUCUGCUCGGAGCAUUCGCACAUGUCUGUGCGGACGCACACCCCCCAUUUUUCACCCAGUGUGCAUGCACACACCUGUAUGUGCGUAUGCACAAGUGCUGCUUUGGGCAAAAUUUUGAUUUCACUUUGAAUUAAACCCUAAGGCACUUCCACCCCUCUCCAUCUCUCUCUUUUCUUUCUUUUACCCUUUUUUCUACUUAUCCUAGUUAGUUUUAUUUGCAUUUCAUUUUGAUUUUAGUAAUUUUAUUAGGUUUGAUUUAGUUGUUUGUCAAUUAAAUAAGUUGCAAGUAUUUUCUUGAUGUUGAUUAGGUUGCUUCUUGCUUGCAAUUUUGGCUUAAUUUUUUAUUAAUAUGUGCACUAAGCAUUAAGUUUUUGUUUAAUUGCCUAAAUGAAUUGUGAGUUUGAUUCAUAUGUUGUAGCUACCAUAUGUAUUAGACUAUAUCCUUGUUUGGCAACUUAAUCAUGAAUUGUGCACCUUGGAUGAUCAUUGAUGUUAUUUAAGAUUGAAGUUCAUCAAUGCACUUAUACUUUGUCUUAAUUUACUAAGUAUCUAGUGGGUUUAAAAAUUCAUGUUUUGAUUACACCCUAGGACAAAUUAUUUGUAAGUGCAUUGAAUAUUAGUGAAUUGAGUUGAAUUACUUGUUCAUCAUGCCUCUCAUAUAAUCACAUUACACGGUACUUGUUUGUUUUUAAUGUUAUACAUUUGUUUGAGUGACUCGACUUGAUUCUUAUCAAGCUUGUCACUUUUUGCAACAAGUACCUUUACCAUGUGACUAUUUCAUUAUGUUUCAUGAUGAAUAAGGAGUUUUCUUUUCAUUAUUAGAUUGGUUAUUGUUUAUUGUGCUUCUAUAUCAAUUUUGCACUUUCCCUUGCACAAUUUCAAUAUCCAAUAUCUCAAAUAUUCAAUUUACUUUAGUUGUGGUUACCUAGGUUUUUAUGUGCCUUAUCUCUUGCUAAUGCUUUACUUGCAACCUAGGCUACUUAAUUGAGGAAUACAUGCUAUUUCUUUUUUAUUGUGUGGUUUUUGUUUUUACCCGGCCAAUGCGUCUGUUCUAAACCGUGCACACUUAGAUACACACAUUGUCGUCUAUCAUACCACACUCAUUUGAACUCUUCCUCAAUUCCUGUUUAAUUAUUUUAUACAGCAACCCGAGUCCGGUGCCCACCAGAUGAAGGUGGAGCCUCUUAGAGUCUUUCAUCCCCCGGAUUACAUGCGUGCACAGAGGACCGUGCAAUAUUUAAGUGUGGGGAGGAUCCGCAAUUUUGGGGUGUAAAUUUCUCUUUCUAACACUUUGCACUAUUUUUUUUUUAGUUUUAAGUGUGGGGGAGGAUCCACAAUUUUAGGGUAUAAAUUUCUCUUUCUAACACUUUGCACUAUUUUUUUUUAGUUUUUAGUAGUUAUGAAUUUGGUGACUACUAGAAAUAGGGUGUUUUUGGACGAAAAUUUCAAACGAAAUUUAUUCCGUCUGAAUGACUUUUUCAUUUCGAACAAAUUUGAGACAAAUGUAGAACAAUUUUUAGUAGAGACAUUGGAAUAAUAUAUUCUAUCCUAAAUUUGCCUAAAUUUUGUCCUAAAUAUUGGCGCCAAUUUUUUUUUGGAUGGCGCCAAAAUUUUCAUACAGAUUAGCAACACAUUUUGGACAAAAACUAUAAUUCGUCCGUAUUCUAUCUGAAUAUGCGCAAUAACUUCAGACGGAUUUGGGACGCAUUUUGAAAAAUGUUAAUUCUAUCCCAAAUUUGUCUAUAAUUAGUCUUAAAUGCUUUUACUAUAGCUAACCCUUCGAAGUAGCUAAAAUUUUUUCCCACAAAUUUGGGACGAAAAUAACAUCAUUUGUAAAUUCUGUUUGGAAGUGCAUCAGUUUUCAAACAAAUUUUAAAUGUUUAUUAAAAAAUUUUAACAUUUAGUAUAAAAAUAUUAUUUAUAUUUUAAAUUAGUCUAUUAUUUUUUAAUUUAUUCUUUUAAUUAUUUACUUUAUAAUCAUUAUCUUCGUCUUCAUCCUGGUCCUCGUCCUCAUUCUCAAAUGUCUCAUCAUCAUCAUCAUCUUCAUAUCUUGUACUAUCGGUAUCCAAUAAAUCAAUAAUAGUGUCAAUAUUAUUUGAGAUAUGAUUGUUAGAUUGAUUUGUGACAUCUUCUUGAUAUGCAAAAUCUUCUGUGUUUCAAUCUCAAUCUCACCUCUUGCUUUAGUCUUGAAUACAAACCACCAUUCUGCUUUUAACAAAAUGAAAUAAAAAUAAAAUAAAAAUAUUUAUGAUAGAGUAAAAUUAACAAAAUACUUAUUGUNNNNNNNNNNNNNNNNNNNNNNNNNNNNNNNNNNNNNNNNNNNNNNNNNNNNNNNNNNNNNNNNNNNNNNNNNNNNNNNNNNNNNNNNNNNNNNNNNNNNNNNNNNNNNNNNNNNNNNNNNNNNNNNNNNNGUUCCAAUUAAUAUAGAAUAGCUAGAUAUUCUUAAAAUAUUAGUGAAAAUAUAUAUUUUAAAUUUUAAUUUUAAAAUUUUGACUAUUUUUUAUUUUAUAUUUAUAUAGGACUGAGUCAAUCGGUUCAACCAGUGAUCCAUCAGUUGAACUAAUGACCCAGUGAUCCAGUAAUCUGACUAGUUCGAUUACCGGUUCGGUUUUGAUAACUAAAUAAGAUAAAUUAAAUAAAGAACUACCCUUAAAGUAAUAUUAAAAUUUUUAAUAAUGAAAAUUAUAGUAAUGAACAUUAAACCACAUAAUGAUAAGUCACAAAAAAAAUCACAUAAUGAUAGUUAUUAAAAAAGAAUUUAUCUAUGAAGAAUUUUUUUCAAUUGACUCUUUUAGCACACUAUAUAUAGAUACAGUAGCUCAAAAAAAAUUUUACUUAUCUAGAAGUCUCUGGUAUGGCUUAUGAGAUGGAUUGGAGACUUAUGAGUCGAAACAGUUGUUAGUUUUUUUACUGGAGCGAUUGGGUUAGUACUUAGCAAGAACACUCCGACGCUCAAGUUAGAAUGGAUUUAUGAAAUAUAUGUGUGUGGAAUAAGGAAUGUAACUGAGGGGCCUCUGGCUCCCCUUUAUAUAAUUCGAUACAGUUAUCUUAUCUUAUCUAUCUUAUCUAUUAAUAUAAAAGGAAUUUUUAAUUUCAAAUAUUGAUUUUACUAAAUAUUUAUCUUUUAAGAUUAUUAUAUAACAAAGAUUUAAGAACAUAAUUUAAUUUAAAAAUUUUAAAAUUAAUAUUAGAUAUAAUUCUUUUUAAAUAUCUAUCAUUUAGAUAUCAAUAUUCCAUAAUUUAUUGGAUAUAUUUUUGUUGCAAUCUUAUCUUUUUUUAAUUUGUUAGUAAAAAUUAAAUAUAAUUUUAAUUUUAAAAUUUGUUAUAUGCAGUUGUUUCAAAGUCACUUAUUUAAUUUGCGCCAAAAAUAAAAAAUUUAUUCAAAACCGCCUUUUUAGUUCCAAAUAUUUUAGUUUUUGAAUGCUUUCUCGCUCGUAUGUAUCAUAACUAGCUAGGUUACCUUCCAAAAACCCAACAUUUUUUCAGCAUUCCCUUUUGGUUUCAGCGUCAGUUUUGGAUCUCCGUCUCCCUCCUUCUGCGUGCUCCCUCCUUCUGCAUUCUCUGCCUUCUGUGGUCACCGCUCGUGCUUCGCACUCAACGCUACGACAGCCACUGCUCCAGCCUCCACUCUCGCACCUCAGACUACCUCUACCCUCUAGAUUCGAACAAAAAAUCUCUUUUUUCACCCUCAUUCAGCGACGUUCGUCUUUUCCCUUUUCUCUUUUUAAGGACACAAAUCAUGAAUAAAAUAAAAUGUACUAACUAAUUCACCUAAAAAUUUAUUAAUCUAAAUCAGAAAAAAUAUAUACUCUAGACAUCAAUUACUCAUGUUAUCAUCCUCAUUAUUACUAGAGCCUGUACCGAGCUCAUUUUCUGUAGGAACAGACAAGGUUGAAGAAAUUGGGAGAUUCAACUUUUAUAUAAAGUAUCAAGUGUCUUUUUAGUAGAACUAAUUCUUUUCUAUUGAGCUUUUAGUUGACGUCCUUGAUCUUUUAACUUGUGCUCAAUAUCAUUCAACUUAACCUUUUGCUCUUUAUUGAUAAUUUCUUGCUCCUUUGCCUUUUCUUUCCAUAUGUGAAGUUCUUGCUCAAUAUUUAUAUCGUCUUUGGAUGUCUCUGGGCAAUCUCUGGAACCCAACUUUGAAGAGAGAUCUAAACCAAAAGAAUCUAAACAAAAAGCAGCUUUCUUUUUUCCUUUUGUUACAACUUCAUUCCAAAUAGGGUAAUCAUCUGGCAUAUCUAGGUCUUCCUUAGAUGCCUCAACAUGUCCCUUAUUAUCUAAGGAUAAAGCUACUUGAGAAAGUUCUGUCUUUCGCUUUUUGAAUUCACCCUACAAAACUAAUUCAUUUUAAUCGCAACUAAAUAUGCCAUGAACAAAUACUAACAUAUAGUGAAAAUUAUUUUUGAAAAAGACAAAAGAAGAACAAACUAGCAUCACAUACAUUGACUUUUUGAGAUCUUUCAUCAAUCCAACUCUUGUCGUUUUUGAUGUGGCAUUUAGUAUAAACCUCCUAUAGAGAAGGUUUUACUCCCGUAGCUUUCUCCUAUAAUAUUAUAGUUUUAAUCCAUAGGAAAGAAAAAAAAGAAUAAGAAAACAUUGCUCAUAAUAAGAACAAGACUAAAAUUUUAAACUAUUUUUAUCUUACCAUUCUUCGUGCAUGUUCACCCAUAGAUAUGGAACUACUAGUGUGCAUGAAAUCUCCAGGAUUUGAUGCUCGAUUCAUAGUAUUUGCUGUUGCCCAGUUCUUAAAAUGUGAAUCUGUAGCCCAAUAAUGCAAUAGUUGAUGCCAAACUGGUGCAAGAAUAUAUUUUGGUAUAUAGUCAGAGUCUUUUGAAUACUUGACUCUCUCUUGACUCAUCAACCCUUUUACUCGAGCACUCUCUUUAAUCUAAAAAAUUUGACAAACUCUUGCAUUGUGUUGAGGAUCCCACAUACAAUAUUUCUCUAAAAGAAAAUAUACAUAUACAAUGAAUUACCCACUAUGUAUAAUAUCAAAAUAUGCAAAAAAAUGAUAAUAAAUACUUACCUUAAAUUUAGUAAACUACAAAUCUCACAUUUGAUCACUGGCAUGUCUCCAUGUAGGGUAGCAUUCUGAAUAUUUGCUUUUAAUGGCAGUUGUUACAUAACGAACAGUAAUACAUGGAUUAAACCUAUAAACAGGUCAAAUAAUAAGUAAUUACACAUCCAUUCACAAUAAAAAUAAUAUAGAGAGAACAUUAAAACACAAAGGUGAUGGUUGUACUUACUCAUCUCCAAAAUGCACUAUUUUCAAGAGCCCUUCUUGAGUGACAGGUUUGCCUUCUUGAUUAAGAGAUUUAUCUUGAUGAUUUUUAUAUGAUGAGUGAGCAUGAUAUAAAUUUUGUUCAAUAUUAGGAUCAUUAUCAAAUGAUUGAGGUUGGAUAGGUGAACAACAUUGUGAUUCAACUGGUGAUAGUGAUGGUGAUGGUGUAUAAUCGGCAUGAAAUGAUAACAUUUUCUUGAAUUUUUGUGGUGGCUGCGAAGAAGAGGGUGGUAAUGCUGAAGGCUUUUUAGAUACAUGUGAAGGAACUGGAGCUCGUGAUUUUGUAGGUUUAGGGUGUGAAAGCUUAGUUUUGUGUGCACUAAUCACCUUCUUAUUAACAGAUUUUCGCACAUUAAUUAACAAGUAUUUUUUUUUAAUAACCUGACAUCUAAAACAACAUAAAAAUUUAUAAGAUUAGCAACACAUAUUGCAUUUAAAUUUUAGUAAUAUAUACAUCAUCGAAAUAAUUAAAAUAAUAACAAUGUAAAAUAGUACUUAGCUGCCAAAAUAAUCAAUUAGGAUAUAAAAUAAAGUGCUACUGUGCUUUAGUAGUAAACUACUAAUAUAUAUGUAUACAUAAGCAUUUUGAAUCAUUCAUAGUUAGGAUAAUACUAUAUGCACACAUAUGAUAAAACUACAGCCAAAUACACACAUUAGCAAUUAUUAAUUAAAUUUCUCAAAGAUGAUGCUUUUUUAUAUCUCGUUCUUUAUAUAAUUAUGCCGAGUUCGAAUAUGUUUAACUGAUAAGACAGACAAAAUUUGAUUCUUCUAUAGGUUAGUUAUGGGAUGGACAAGAUUCUUUGAAGGAACAAGGCUGUUUGACUGCAUCAGCUUUCCCAACAAGGUAACAACCAAAAAAACUUUAAUGUAGUAAUUAACUUUUAAAAUUUUAAUUACAUACCACAAUUUAACUUUUUUGUAGAUCCACCCUAUUCCAGUUCAUGUUGAAGAAGGUAAAUGUAUUCUAAUUUAUGGAAGAAUAUAGUGCAAUUGUUUUGUUUUCUCCUUCUAUUUACAUUUUUUAAUUCAUGAGUUAUAAUACAAAUAGGUUAGAGAUGGGGAGAAAUAAUGCUUAACUCUUGUACAUUAUAUAUCAUUACUAUUGCUCACUACAUAUUAGUCGUGUAAAAAUUAGGUAAUAAUUCUGUUUUGGUGGAGAAAAAAAAAAGGAAAAACAGUUAAUCAAAAUACGGCUCUUUCUUGGUAUUAUUUUUAUUGAGAAGCAGGUCCAUCUCAAACUUGACUUGCAAUUUUUGAAAGACUAGCAAAUGGCCACUUCUGCAGUGCAAACUAUUUUUGUAUUUGAAUUUUAUCUUUCUACGUUAGCCUUAUAAAUACAACAAUAUUUCUGUUUGAAUUUUGUAUUUGCUUGCACAGGAAAUAGUCUACCCAGAUAUUCCUACAAGAAGGUGUGACACCCCCAAGAAUCACGAGAUACUUUCCCAAGGAACUCAUGCUAGCAACUACGGCCCGCUAAGCAAGCAUUUCAAUCAAUAACUGAAAUGUUUCCUAAACAAGAUAACACACAAUAACAGAUUGAAGAUGCAAUAAUCCCAAAAUGGAACUCUGUAAUUGGAACUUUUGUAUCUUUAACAUCGACUCAAUCACCAUCGGUUUCUUUAACUAAAAAGAAUGGAUAAAACUACUGGUCUCUUUUUGGCGAGAGAUUCUAAUUAUAAGGUACACUCUACCAAAUUUUCUAAAACUUUUAAUAAGUUGUGUUGUUGGUUUAAUUCUAGAGUGUGUGUUGCAAUAUGAUUUCAAGUCAUUGUCUAUGGAUGUAGAUAGGGAUAAUAGUGGAGGGGGUUUAAAACUUGAAUUCUCUGAGGGGGACGCAUUUGUUGCGCAUGUCUUCAACAUGGAACCGUUUAGGUCUGAAGGGGUAUCCAGAUGUUUGUGUUAUAGGUGUCGGCUGACUAAGUGGUUAGGACCUUCGAUAUAACGCUCCACCUCUACCGUAAUGGGUUCAAGGAUGGGUAUUAGAUGUGGACAGAACAUGAAGAAGUGGACGAGUAGGAAAUUAACCGGUCUCCCUCGAAUUUAAAUAGGUCCGAUGGUCGAUCAAUGAGGGUUCGGGUGGUGAGAGAACUAAACAUGGAAGAAAUGAAUUGGGAGUGUAACCAAGAGAGAUACAAUGAGAUGGUGUUUGAUGCAAUAGGUGUUACAGAAAUGGAAGAGGUUGAACAAGAGCCUAACCCAGAGGUAAAGAGAUUUUAUCAUCUGUUAGAAUCUGCCACGACACAUUUGUUCGAGGGGUGCGUUUAUUCGAAGUUUUUUGCAUGUGCUAGAAUGAUGAGUAUUGAGUCAGAGUCAAAUCAUACCCAAGAGUCUUUUGAUAAGUGGGCCACCCUUUGCAACAAACUGGUACCUGUCAGGACCACUAGCAUCCCCAAGAGCCCGUACGAAGCAAAGAAGUUAGUUUCGAAAUUGGGUCUAAAAAUUGAUUGUUGUUUAAAUUGUUGUAUGUUGUACUACAAGAGGGAUGUAGACCUAACUGAAUGUAGAUUUUGUCAAGAGAGAACAGAUUGGUAAACAACAGUUAAAGAGAGUUCCAAUGAAACAGAUGCACUACUUACCCUUAAUCCCUAGGUUGAAACAAUUGUAUACAUCGAUGAGUUCGGCCCCUCACAUGACCUGGAAUAGUAACAACAAGAGAACACGAAAGCACAAGGACUACAAUAUCACUGAAGGUAAUAUAACAAGAAAAUAUAAGCACUAAAAUCCUUUUAUUCUACCUUAAAAUGUACGACAGAUAUACUAUUUGCCUUAUUCAGGUUCAUGCAAGUCUAGUUGGAUGAUUGUGGUUAAGACUAAGCAAAGAGGCCACAUCGAGUCUGAUGAGACAGAGAUCAAGAAGCUUGCCAGAUUGAUGACCUAACUCCUUCAAAAAUGGUGGUUGAUACCGGUGAUCCAAUCACCUUUAGGUUGCCUGUUAUGGAUGAUGAUAUCAUUGACCUUUAAAUAGAUGAUGACGCACAACCACCAGAGGAUGAUGAUCUUCAAGAAGAAGAUGGGGUCGAUGGCGACGAAGAAGAGGAAGACGAGUUCAAUGAUCAGGAAACUACUUUAAAAGAGGUGGAUGGUGAACUAGAGGAAGACGACGAUGAAUCUGAAUAGGGUUAAUGUAAAUAUAGUUCUAUCUUAUGUAUUUCUAUACCAAACUUUGAGAAGAAUGUAAUAUAAUUAGCAUUGUUUCAGAUAUUCCAAAUACCAUUAUUCCGUAUUUUUAAUUUGUAUAUUUGAUAUUUCACAUCAAGUUUAAAGCAUUGUUUCAAUUAUUAAUUAUCGGGGUACAUUAUAGAUGGACAGAAAAAAUUAUUUAAAAAGAAAAAUCUACUGUCGAAAUAUACCGACGGUAACAGCCCAGGUAAUUUUCCAAAAAAACUUAGAAAAAAUAUUUCCGUUGGCUUUUAUCGUCGGAUUAAGGGCGCGCGAAGCCGUAUGCUUUGGCGCCAAUGUUACCAUUGAAAAUUUUCUGACGGUAAGUUGCAACAGAUUUUCUUUUUUUGAUAUGCAUAUUUCGCCGCAAAAUCUGACCCAAAUUACUGUCAGAUACAUAAAUCCGAUGGUAAUUUGUUACCGACGAGGUUUGUUCCGUCGGAUAAAUUUCGACGCAAAAUUUGACGAUAAAUUGUGUACCGUCAAAUUUUAUUCGUUUUUUCGACAGUAAAUUUAUCGUUACUCAACGUUUUCUUGUAGUGACUAUUUUAAUUUAUUAUAUAUUUUGAGGUUAAAUUUUUAAUUUUGAAGGUCUAAAUUUGAAUAUAUAUAUAUAUAUGGUAACUUCUGUAGUGGCUAUAUGGUGGAGACCAAUGGAAGUAAGGCAUGGAAGGUAUAAUAGAAAUUGACCUUAUAUGGUGGAGACCAAUGGAAACAAGACAUAUGGAAGGUAUAAUAGGAACCGACCAGGAUUUUAACCAGGUUAAAGGUAGGGUAAAUCUCUUAAUGAAACAUGGUAAAUUAUUAAGUGAGUGUUAAUUUAGUAGAUGAAUUUAACAAAUAAAAAGAAAAUUAAAUAAAAAAUUAAUAAAACAAAUAAAGAAGUAAAAGGAAAAAUUAGAUUGAUCAAAGAGAAAGUAUAGGGAGCCAAUGGAAUAUUUGUACAAUGUGUACAAUGGAGAUUUAGGGAUGUCCGAUUCAGUAUUAGAGAUAUAACCAUUAGUGUUAUCUUUUCCUAUCAGCUGAAGCUUUUAGGAUGAGUGGUAUCAUGACAUGGUAUUAGAGCUCUAGAUCCAAAAGGUCAAGAGUUCGAUUUUUGGUGAACGGAUGAUAUGUUUAUUAUCCUUAGUACCCGGAUGGUUAUUCUGGAUAGUAUGGGUGAUGUUCAUAAUUAGGUUUAGAUUCUUGCCGUCGCAAGGCAAUGGUUUUGAAAUUUGCACCCCCCCUGAGGGAGGAGUUCCUUACCGUAUUGCGUUGGUUUCAUCCAAGUAAGUGCUGACUCUAUUUGUUCGCUGUGUUUUUCUUUCAUAUAGUGGAGACAGAGGAAGGCGACAGUGAGUCUUCUGACAAACACAAAGUUGCAAUGGCUGUUGAGAUCAUUGUCGCUGAUGGAUCGAGUAAGUCACCGACGAAAUUAGAGAGAAGAACCGCCGAUGCCGCUACUGUCCAUCACUAUCGUCACUAAGGACGAUGCCACUGGAAUGCUCAGCCAAGACGAGACCACUAACAAUGAAGAAACCUCAGCUAGGGAGGACAGACAAAUGACAAUGAUGAAAUGUAACUUAUAUGUGGAGGGUUUUUAUUUUUGCUGAUUUUUGUCUGAUUUUCGAUUUUCUGGUAAUCUGAAUCUUUGACUUUUUCUAGCCUAGGGUUUCUGAUUUUCUAUUUCAGUUAUAAUCUUUAGUUUUGUGUUUGUUUGAUUUUGUUGAAAUAACAUAGUUUGUGUGUGAUUGGCUUGCUCAUGAGUAAGUGACUUGAUUAAGAACUUAUAAAAAGCUAUUGUUACAUAUUUUUCUUCGAAUAAUUGCCGCAUUGUUCCUCAAUUAAGAACUCUUUUGAUGAUAUUGGUUGUUGCACUAUGUUUCUAAGGAGAAAGGGGCCAGAAUUGCAUAUAGUCAUAUAGAUAUCUUUGUAAUUGACUUCUUUAUUUAGAAACAUUUAAAUUAAUUAACAAAUUUGAUCUACAAGUUAUGUGCUGACCAACUAAAUAAAUUUUAUUUGGAGUGCAAACCAACCUAUUUGCUACCUUCUUAUGUUAGCAUAGAGGAUUUAUUGAAUAGGAAAGGAAGAGAAGAAGGGUGUGUCCAGAACAUCUACCAGAGUUUCAUUGAAUAGUCAAUUAUACAUUAUUGAUUGUGGUGAAAGUUGUAAUCUAGUGAAUUGUACGCUAAUAAUAAAUGAAAUUGUAUAUUAACUUCCUGCUUUUGAUUUGAAAACUAAUAGAUCUGUGUAUGUUAGACUUUUAUUUAUACAAAUUCUAAAAGUUUUUGUUCUAUUGCAAUAUGUUUAGUUCGAACUCAAAGAGCAAGAAAUUGAAACUUUUGGAGGGUUGGAAUUAAUGGAGUUGCAAUUCUAUGUCAUGACACUUGUCUUCAAGUCUAAGUGGCAACAAAGAGGCUUUUGAAAGGGGAUGAGAAUUGUAAUUGUGUUCUUAUACAUGUUUAAUAAAUAAUUUUUUACACAUGUUUAAUAUUUACUUUCUUCACAUUUUGACACGCAUAACAAAAAUAACUUGCCAAUAUUUCCCGCUAAUAAUAAAGGUACGAAUAAUGCUAUACAUCUUAAUUUUUUUUAUGAACUAAGUCAAAGCAAGUUAAACAAUAAGAUUUGGAAUAAUGCUUGUUAGAAACAAGAGACUGAGAGAGUAAUCUGAAAAGUGUAUUAUUGAGUUGUGUUCAGAAGUACAAUAUAUAAGGGGUAUUUAUAGGUGCUAAAUGAAUCAAAGUAAUAAAGACAUAGAAUCUUACAAUUAAUGUACAGAUAUACUAUAUAAAUAUAGACGAUACUAAUUGAUUUAAAUUGAUUCUAAUGAUUCUCUAACAUGAUUCUCUAACAUCCCCCCUCAAACUCAAGUGGAAGCUAAGGAGACCAACUUGAGUUUGGAUAACAAAGUCCGGAAACGAGUCGGGUGAUGAGCUUUCGUGAAGAUAUCAGCAGUCUGAUCCAGUGUUCCAACAGCAAUGAGACGAACAGCAUCAAUAAGAAUACGUUGCCGAACAAAAUGAUAAUCAAUCUCAAUAUGUUUGGUGCGUUCAUGAAACACAUUAUUAUGGGCAAUCUGAAUAGCACUGUGGUUAUCACAAAAAACAUCAGUAGGGGACGACUGAGGAGCACCCAGAUCUUCGAGAAGCCAACGAACCGAGAUAACCUCAGCAGUGGUGUCAGCGAGAGCACGGUAUUCAAAUAGACGAGGAGCGGACAACGAACCGAGAUAACCUCAGCAGUGGUGUUAGUGAGUCGUACGAGGAGCGGACAAGAACUGGCUGAGGACAUGUACUGGAUAGGCAAUGUCUGGUCGGGUGACAGUCAAAUAGACGAGACCGCCAACUAACUGUCGAUAGAGAGUCGGAUUAUCCAAAACAGUGCCAUCCAUAGGGGUAAAUCGAACAUUAGGCUCAAUAGGAGUAGACUCAGUGCGACUAUCUGUAAUCCCAUCGCGAGCAAGAAGAUCUGAAGCAUACUUAGCCUGAGAGAGAUAGAUGCCAUCAUCUGUGGAGAUGACAUCGAGACCAAGAAAAUAGUUGAGAGAACCAAGAUCUUUCAUCUCAAAGGUACGAUGAAGUGAGGCCUUGAGAUCAGAGAUACCAUCAACAUCAUCUCCAGUAAUGAUCAUGUCAUCAACAUACAAAAGUAGAAGGACAACUCCACGUUCGCUUUUACGAAUGAAGAGGGCAUUCUCAUGAGGACUAGAAGUAAAACCAAGACUGCAUAUGGUAGUGCUGAACUUGUCGAACCAUUCACGAGGAGCUUGCUUAAGUCCAUAAAGUGCCUUGCGAAGGAGACAAACCUUACGAGAAGGACAAGGAUAUCCCGGAGGGGGUUUCAUAUAGACUUUCUUUUUCAAGUCCCCAUUAAGAAAUGCAUUCUUCACAUCCAUCUGACUGAGAGACCAUUUUUUAACCGCAGCAAUGGCAAGGAGAGCUCUAACAGAUGUAAGGCGAUCGACAGGAGCAAAAGUCACUUCAUAAUCAAUACCAUACUCUUGCGUGCAACCUUGAGCAACCAAGCGUGCCUUAGAACGGUCAAUAGAGCCAUCAGAGCGAGUCUUGAUCUUGUAUACCCAUCUACUGCCCAUAACUUCCUGAUCAGAAGGAGGAUCAACCAACUCCUAAGUAUGUGCUUUUUCAAGUGCCUGUAUUUCUUUCUGCAUUGCUUUUUGCCAAUUUUGAUUUGUGGAGGCUUCUCUAAAUGACUUAGGUUCAUGUUGAUGAAGAAUAGUAGAAAAUCAAUGAUAAUCAAGAAGAUGAGGAGGUGGAUUCCUUACCCGAGAAGAACGAGUGGGAGGAGGAGGAAUGACGGUAGGAGCGGGAUCGCCGUCCGGACUGGAAUCAUCGGGAGAUGGGGAAGGCGGAGGGGCAGGAGCCUCGAGGGGUGGACUUGGGGUAUACCCUGUAGUAUCAUCACUAGGAAAGAGAUCAACAUUUGGGUUAGUAAAAAACGGUGACGGAGUAUAAGGAAUGGACUCAAAAAAGGAAAAACUAGAGAACAUGUGAUGCUCCCAGAAGACAACAUGACGAGAUAUACGAAUACGGCGAGAGAUAGGAUCCCAACAACAAUAACCCUUAUGUUCAGAAGCAUAACCAAGAAAAUAACACAUGCGAGCCCGAGGUUCAAGUUUAUUAUGUUCAUGAGGCUGAAGAAGGACAAAGCAGACACAACCAAAAACACAGAGAGAACUGUAAUUGGGAGAAGUACGAUAAAGACGCUCAAAGGAGGUAGUGUUACCAAGAACAAAAGAAGGGAGUCUAUUGAUAGCAUGAACAGCAGUGAGAACAGCUUCACCCCAAGCACGCUCAGGACAGGAAGAGGAAAUAAGCAUCGCACGGACAGAGUCAAGAAUAUGACGGUGUUUACGCUCAGCUCUGCCAUUUUGUUGAGAAGAACCAGGACAAGAAAACUCAGACAAAGUACCCUGUUCAGCGAGGAAAUUUAAAAGUUUGGAGUCACGGUAUUCCAUAGCAUUAUCACAUCUGAAAAUUUUAAUGACCUUUGAAAACUGAGUUCGAACCAUAGUAGCAAAGUUAAUGUAAAUCUGAGGCAACUCACAAUGAUUAGUCAUCAAAUAAACCCAAGUAAAACAUGAAUAAUCAUCAAUAAAGACGACAAAAUAUCGAGUCCCUCCCAUAGAAGCGGUGGAAGCGGGGCCCCAAACAUCAAAAUGAAUAAGAUCAAAAGGAGAGUAUGCAAUAGAGGAAUUAUUAUUAAAGGAUAAGGCAGGUUGUUUUGCAGUGAGACAAGAAAUGCAAUCUAAAGACUCAUUUUGAACUUGACCUAAAACACCUGUAGAUAUAAGAGGACGCAAUUUUUCUAAGGAGUUAUGAGCAAGACGAUGGUGCCACAAGUGAAAAGUGGAUGGAGAGGAAGCAGCACAGAGAUUUGUAGAGGGAACAUGAAGGUUCUCGAGCUCAAAUAAGCGUCCGACCUUACAGCUAGUCCCGAUGAUCUUUCCCGUCCGACGAUCCUGGAGGGGUGGAAAGAGUAGCGGGGGUAUUACCAGAAAAAGAGAGAAGUUACUUAAGAAGGGUUUCAAUAUCUGAUGGAGAGACAGAAGGUGUGUUGAGAGAUGUGGAAGAGGUGGACUCAGUAGCAGCAGCAGCAGUAGAGGCAGGCACAUGCGGAGAGUUGUUGGGACGAGGUUGAUACUUGUUCUGAUCUGAACGUGGUGGUCGAGUAGGACAGGUAGCAAUCAAGUGACCCGAGAGCUUAUAAUAAUGGCAGAACAGUUUCGGGCAGUUGGAGCCAAUGUGGCCUUUUUGUUUGUACUUACGACAUUCAAUAGAAGGACAGUCAGAGAAGGAAUGUCCAGGCCGGUUACAGUUGCGAUAGAUUUUACCCUUUCUGUCAGUGACAGCAAAGAUAGUUUCACUUCUAGAACGAAGCAAUCCCAAGCGCGUUUCUUCAGACUUGAGAUGAGGAAGAGCAUCUUCAAGACUAGGCAAGGGAUUCUGAUGAAGAAGAGAAGCCCUGACCGGCUCAUAGUCAUCAGUAAGUGCCAUCAAAAAUUGGAUGAGACGUGUCCGGUUCCUAUAAUCCUCAUAUGCCUUAGCAUUAGUGGGAUCUUUAAGAACAGGCUCACAAGAGGUCAACUGAUCCCAAAUAAUCUCCAUCUGAGCAAGAAAAUCAAAAACUGUUUGGCCACGUUCUUACUUGAGGCUAUGAAGUUCCUUAAGCAGUUGGUACUGAUGAGAGAGAUCAGAAAUAGUGUAACGUUUCACCAAAUGAUCCCAUACCUCUUUAGCAGUUUCAAAAUGCCCAAACUGUAAAUAAAUGCCAGGAGUAGAAGUGUUGCGGAAUCAAGUGAUAAUCUGAUGAUUUUUACUAUCCCAAUCUUCCAAUUUCUUUGCAUAGUCCUUCUCCUUCUCAGCAUCCUCCUUGGAUUUAGAGGCACCAUCUUUGGAUUUGUCAGUCAUAGUUGGCUUAACAGGACAAGCAAUAUCACCAGUCACAUAUCACCAUAAUUUUCGCCCUUUAAGAAAUCCUCGCAUAGCUUCAACCCGAGCCAUUAAGGAUAAUAGGGAUAGGCUAAAAGACAUCUGAUUUUUCUAUAGUAAUAGAAGAAAUAGCAAAGGGAAGAAGAAAACUGUAAAUUCGGGGCAGAAAACAAGAAAACGGAGCGCAGAAUCGAAAAGAGCUCACCAAAAAACCUUAGGGAGGGUCUCAUUUGUCCACCACGUCAGCGCCACGUCAGCAGUCAUAUCAGCGCCACGUUAGCGAGACAAGGACACGUGGCGGCACCUGAGAGGAGGGAGAGAGACACGCUGACAGCCAGGUGGAAGCGCGGGUCAAAGGCGGGUUGGGCCGGGCGUGCGCGGGUCAGGGGCGUGCUUCUGGAAGGAGAAAUAAUGGAGGUGGACAGCGAACUUCCGGCGGUGUGUGACGGCGCGUCCGGUGGCUGAUGGCGGCGUUCUCGGCGGCGUUGGAAAGCUAACAAAGAGAAGAACACGAUGAUGCCGAAGGUGACGAACCAAAGCGUCAGAAACAGAUCGAAAAAUGAGAGCAAAGAGGCACAUGUGGAAUCUGGAAGGAAGAUCAACCUGGUCGUGGCAGCGUCUUUCAGCGGCGCGUGGCGGCACGUCUGGCGGCGGAUGGCGGCGGUUCUGGUUGCGUUGGAAUCAUGGCGACAAGACGAACAAGAUGGUUACGGGGGUGACGAACCAAAGCGUCGAAAAGGGAACGAAAAGAGAGGCCAAAGAACACUGCUGGAAAGGAAAAAAAACAAUGGGGUACGGUUAUGAACUAAUAUUCAUUGAAAAAAAAAAGACCUAAGCUCUUGAUACCAUGUUAGAAACAAGAGACUGAGAGAGUAAUCUGAAAAGUGUAUUAUUGAGUUGUGUUCAGAGGUACAAUAUACAAGGGGUAUUUAUAGGUGCUAAAUGAAUCAAAGUAAUAAAGACAUAGAAUCCUACAAUUAAUGUACAGAUAUACUAUAUAAAUAUAGACGAUACUAAUUGAUCUAAAUUGAUUAUAAUGAUUCUCUAACAUGAUGCUCUAACAAUGCUAACUAUAAUUGAUUUUGUUAUGUUAGACUAAUUUAGUUUGAUUUGAUUAACAAAAAGAUUUGGAUAUAUAGCAUUAUUACGGUGCAACUAGGUAUCCAUCAUAAUUCAUCCUUUAAUCAGUCAUUAUUUAUUGUAAUAAUUAUUUUUAAUUAUAUAUCAAAUCUUCUCUUAUAUAUUCAAAAUUCAAAACUAUAUCUUCUUAAAGUUAGAAUAUUUAAAUUUAAACCAAAUAAAACAAAAAUAACAAACUAAAAUUAAACUCUAACCAAAUUAAAAUUUAAAAUAAUACUAUCAAAAUCAAUUUUUUCGGUUUUAAGAGGGUGGUAUAUAUGAUUUUUUUUGUUCUAAUUAACAAGAGUAAUGAACAUAAUUAUUUUUGAAUGAGUUUUAAAUGUGUCAAGAAAUUAUUUAGUGUGCAAUUUUAUAAUUUUAGAUGUAUUUUUAAUGUAUACAAUAGUGUUGAACAUUAGCCUAACAGUAGUGACGACUACAUUUGCUUUAUGACAAUCUUUUUUUCCUUUGAGUAUAAGAAAAUUUCUAUUUCAUUAGUUUUGUCAGCGUGGCUCAAAAAACUUGUUUAACACCUCGUUCUUUGACUUUACUGCAUGCAGAAGAAGUGCUAUAUAUAUUGAGCUGUUUCCAAAACCAAAGCUGCAAAAGAGAAUCACUUUUUUCUUAUUAUUUGUGUUAAAAAAAUAUUUAUGCUAAGAAAAUAUAAGUACAAAAUUAACGAAUCCAAUGUAUAUCAAAAGUAUUUUGUGUUAUUUUAUUAUUUUUUACGUGUUAAAAGAUUAUUUAUGUAAAAAAAAUAUACACAGAUUUAAACGAAUUUUAAAUGUGUUUUCGAGCGUAUUUUGUAUAUUGUCUUAUUAUUUUAGAUAUGUUAUGAACAUAUAUAAAAUAAUAAAAAAAUAUAAAUAAAAUAAUCACAUGAGACAUACCAGCAACUUUGAAAUGUUAAUGUAAUGUUGAAUAUCAACUUGCCUAGGUGGUACACGUCCUUCAUGAAACUAAGGAAUAAAAAAAUUGAAGUUGUAGAUUUUGUGAAUAAAAAAUGCCAAAUUUCCAUCAAUAAUAAAAAGUAAAAAAAAUUAAAAUAGUAAAUGAAGAAAAAAAAACUAAAAAUGUAAAUAAAUGAUUAUUUUUCUUGUAAAAAAGAAUAAAGAAUCACAAUCAUGAACCACAUAAUAAUGAAAAACUAAAAUAAAAUUACGAACACUAAUAGUCACACAUGGAAAUAAAAUAACAUGAAUGGAGUAAUUUGGCAUCGGAUUCGACGGUCUCAGAACGUUUAGACCAUUAAAUGGUCCCAUAAUAAAAACAUGUUUUUUAAGUUUUUCAAUAACUGUUAAAUAGUCCGUUUCUAAUUUUAAUUACAAAUUAACCCCAUAUAUUUUAUUUAAUUAUAAAAAUUAUUAUUUUCUUAUUUAAUAAUCAAAAACAAAAACAAUAACGAAUUAGAUCUUCCAUUGAUCGUAAUAACUUUUUAGCAAUUCCAAUCGAUUAAAAGUUUAUCUUUGAUCCAUUACAUCGGUCGAGGAUUUUGAAAUCAUAUUUCUUAGAAAAUCAAUUGAUUGGGUUAACAAAACAAUCAAUUAAAUUCCAGGUUUCCCAUAACUCAAUCGAUUUAUAAACCAUUAGUCAUGGCGCGAUUCAAAAUUCAAUCGAUUGGAUUAUCCUACCAAUCGAUUGAAUGCAGAAAAAAACUUAUUUACGUCACAUUUCAAUUGAUUGAAUGAUCAUAUCAAUCGAUUAAACCUUCAUAUAUCAUUUUAAUAUCGGCCUUCAAUCGAUUGAAUUAUAAAAAAUUCGCAUUCUAGUCAUCGUUCAAUCGAUUGGGUAAUAUGAUCAAUCGAUUGAUUUUUGCGAAAAGCAUACUGUCUUGCAACUUUCAAUCGAUUGUUUUGUGGUAACCUGAAGUCCAACCGAUUAAGUUAUGGGAAAUCUGAAAUUCAAUCGAUUGUUUUGUUAAUCCAAAUGAUUGAUUUUCUAAGAAACACGAUUUUAAAAUCCUCCACGGAUGUAAUGAAUCAAAUAUAAACUCUUAAUCGAUUGGAAUUGCCAAAAAGUUAUUACGAUCAAUGAAAGAUCUAAUUCGUUAUUGUUUUUUUUUAUUAUUAAUAAACAUAAUAGAUGAAUAAUAAAAUAAUAAUUUAUAAAAUAAAAAAUAAUUUUUAUGAUUAAAUAAAAUAUAUAGGGUUAAUUUGUAAUUAAAAUAAAAAAUAGACUAUUUAGCAGUUAUUAAAAAUUUUAAAAAACAUAUCUUAUUAUGACACCAUUUAAUGGUCUAAACGUUCUAGGACCAUUGAAUUCUUUGUUGAGUAACUUGAAUGACUAACUUCCUAAAAAAUGUAAAAUAUGAAAAGGUAGUUACUCACCGGUGUUAAGCAUUAAAAUUUUUAAAAUUUAAAUUAAAUAAAAGUGUUAGUGAUUCCUAAAAUAUAGGAAAUAUGAUUAAAUAAAAAUUAAAAAAUAAUAUAAUAAAGUAAUUAGAUUUAAAGGUUGGGUAAAGGAUAAACUUUAAAGAAAAAGUAGUAUUUUCCUAAUAAUAAAUAGUAAUCAAUGUUUUCACUCACAUUACUUCUCUCGUUAUUGCAUUUUUAGAUUUGAGAUUUUUUAUAUUUCAGAAUUAAAUUACAAACUUUCCUCUAAACAGAUAAAUUUUUUUUUCACACAAAAGAUAGCUGACUGAUGAGUGAGAUUUUGUGCCAGUUUAAAAUUUUUCAAAACAAGAAUCACUUCAUCGGUAGCAUAGUCCAAACCGGCAAUAAAAUCCCAUUAAUCAAAGUUUAAUUCAAAUUAAAAUAACCGAGAGUAAUAAAAUUUCGGGUCGUUUUUCCUAGAAACUAGUGACAACAAACACACAAUUUUAGUUGUGAAAAUCAAGGGAUUUUUAAUAGUGAGUCAAACGAUUAAAGGAAUUAAAGAACGAUCAAAAUUGUAAUUAAUAAACUAAUAAAGGAAUUAAAGAACUAUCUAUAUUGUAUGAACAAGUAAAGCUUAAAAAGAUGGAAAGGUGGUUCAAAACAUAAAUGGAAGCCUUGACUUGGGAUGAGUUAUAGAAUUCCUUCCUUGCCAUAACCACAACUAUGAUAAUUAUGAUGGAUUAAUCUCACUUAGUCAACCCUUAACAUUGAAGAGUAAGUCAAGUGAGUAUAAUUGUUAUUAAUCCACAAAUCCUAGCUAACUUACUAAUUACCUUAGUAAAAAACUAGCAUUAGUGGAAACAAUAACAACUAACAACCCAUGAAUUAUCACUAAAUGUCGGACAUUAUGACUCUAGUAUUCCAUAUACUCAUUUUUCCAAGUCAAGGGGUGGAAAUCUAUCCUAUAAUCAAAAUUGACUUUUCAUCAAACACAUGGUGGGCAUAAUCAUAAAACAUGGUGAAAUUCAAAAAUUGAUAAAAAACUAUGAACCACAAAAGAACAAAAUCAACAAUGGCAACUCAAUAAACAUAUAAAAAUCACUAAACAUCAAAUUCAUUAAUCAAAACUCAAAAUUGUAAAAGUAUAUAUGUAUUGAUGAAGGAAAUUAAAAUAUAAGAAAGUGUAGAACAAGUAGUGUAAUAAAAGAGAAAAUUAAGGAAUACUUACAAUGGAAAUAAGCUAGAGACAAAAUCAAAAUUGGAGAUUGCAAAAUUGUAGAUAAACCCUAAUUACAUCCUAAGAAAAAUUGAGAGAAAAAUCUAAACAAAACUACCUAAAACUACCCUAAGUGUGUUAUGUAUGGUAUGAGUUCUUAGGUUGUAUGGUUGCUAGCCCCUCCUUUAUAAGCUUUAAACCCUUCAAAAUUGGGCCAAAAAGCCUCCCAAAUCGCAUGCUUCUCUUCCACCCUUAUCAAGUCAUUCCAACCUAUUACCCCUGAAAUCACUCAUCAAAAUAUCAAGGCAUCGAAUGGAAUGAAAGUGGAAUAAAAUUGAUCAAAUUAAGCACAAAAUAGCAUGUUUCCACAAUUGGACAUAAAUUUUUUUGGACGAAUUUUGAGACGAAAUUGAAAUAAAUUUCGAACAAAUUAGAGACAAAUUUUUUUUUUCAAACAAAAUUGGGACGAAUUUAUUUUGUCCCAAAAAGCCUUGUUGCUAAUUUACAUUUUGUCUGAAAUUUCGUCCGAAAUUUUUUUAGACGAUUUUGUGACAGAUUUCGAAUAAGCAUUUAUCUGCUACAUUUCUAACUAUUAUGAUGUAUUUUAGACGAAUUUUAGACAGAUUAGCCAACAUAAAGAUAAUGUAUUUCAGACAAAUUUCAAACGUAAAAAUAUUUUAUUUUAGACAAAUUUUAAACAAAAAUAUAUUUUAUUUCAGACAAAUUUCUAAAGAAAUUUAGUCAAAUAUAACAAAUUUUUUUCAAACAAAUUUUAGACAAAUCAAAUAUCUCUUUUCAAUUAAAUUUCAGACAAAUUUAAUUUAAAAGAAUUGACGUAUUUGAAACAAAUUUCAUACAAAACAAAAAAUUAUUUUCGCACAAAUUUUCUACAAAUUUAAUAUAAUAUUUCAAACAGUUUUCAAACAAAAUUUGCUAUUUAAUAUAUAAAUAUUUUAGAAAAUAAAUUGUAUUCGAUUUGCUUUCUAUAUUAAGACCAUCAUAAUCAUUUUUUUCAUAUUACAUCAUCAAAAUUAUAAACACAUAAUAAAAUCAUGAAAAAGUUAAUUAACAUAAAAGAGUUAAAAAAAUAUUUAUUAUUAAAAUAUUUUUAUCCAUAAAUAUAAUCAAACUAAAAUAAGAAAAAAAUACUUAAACUAAAACAAAGAAAGCCUUUAAAAAGGUCAAAUAUCAUGAAUAAAAUAAAAUGUACUAAAUCGAAAUUAUAAACACAUAAUAAAGUCAUGAAAAAGUUAAUUACCAUAAAAGAGUUAAAAAAAUAUUUAUUAUUAAAAUACUUUUAUCCAUAAAUGUAAUCAAACUAAAAUAAGAAAAAAUACUUAAACUAAAACAAAAAAGCCUUUAAAAAGGUCAAAUAUCAUGAAUAAAAUAAAAUGUACUAACUAAUUCACCUAAAAAUUUCUUAAUCUAAAUCAGAAAAAACAUAUACUCCUAACUUCAAUCACUUAUGUUAUCAUCCUCAUCAUCACUAGAGCUUGUCCCAAACUCAUCUUCUGCAGGAUCAGACAAAGUUGAAGGAAGUAGGGGAUUCAACUUUUUAUACAAAGCAUGAAUUAUCUUUUUAGUAGAACCAAUUCUUUUUUGUUGAACCUUUAGUUGACAUCCUUGAUCUUUUAACUUAUGCUCGGCAUUAUUCAAAUUAACCUUUUGCUCUGACCACUGGAGAAUACAUAAACCAAAACAAAAUGUUAAAUUCAAAGACAUUGGCAAAUGAUAGAAAAAGAAAAGUGUUAAUAAAGUUGAAAUAAAACUACUAACAGUGUUAAUAGGAUCAAGAGUUUGUAUUGAAUCAACAGCACGAGGGGAAAGAAGCUGAGCUUUCUUCAAUAUGUCUGAAAACUAAAUUAAGGUAAAAAAGUAUACAAGUAUCUAGACUUCACCAUACAGUUCUCGCAAGUUAAGGCUAUUACAUGAAAUAAUCGCUUAAUAGGACCCUGAAAUAAUCGCUUAAUAGGACCCAGCCAAUAACUUCAAUAAAAAUUCAUGUAUAAAACAGAAAAUAAUAUAGCAAGAAGAAUGCUAGCAGCAAAACUAAUCAGAAGAAAUCCAGAUUUCCACCUCAAUAUCAGUACUUGAAUAUAAAUAUAUAUUUGAUUUAAUCCUAAGGCGUUCUGCUCUGAUACCAAUUUGCUCAAGGCUCUGUCACAUGACACAAAACAAAAUAAAUGCAACCAAAUUAGAGAAGGUUAACUGACUCUAAACCCAAAGCACAGUCACAAAUCAAAUAUUAAACUUCAGUGCCCACAUCAGAAAAAUCAAAUAUUAUCCCAAACUACAAUACCAGGAUGCAGGAAAGAAACCCAAUAAAAGCUAACCUCUUCACCAGACACAUAUAAAACUCGAGAUGCUUUGCCUUCACUGCAACCCUUUUCUAUCAUUGUUGCCAUCUUCCAAUCAAAUUGUGACAAUAAAAGAAAGCAUUACUGGUAAGAGUUGUGUAUCCUCUUAAAUUAAAAGAAAUCAAAUUGAACUCCUCCCAAGUCCAAUCAGCAAAAUCUGAAACAAGAUAGAUAAUAAUAACAUUACAACCACAAGAUCGAUUCUGUUACAAGUGAGCCAAUCAUUUCACUUCAUUUGUAUCCUCUUAAUUUAAUUUUUGGCAUUGCGGAUGCGAUCUAGAAAGAACUUAUUGUAUAAAUAUUGGUCUCAUAAAAUUUUAGUACCAGAAAUAAAAUCUCUCACAUAAGGACAUAUUUAUAAAGUUUAACUUUAAUGCACUUUCAGGUUAAGCAAUUUUAGACAUGCAUUCAAUUAGGUAAAGUCACCUAGCAAAAGUAAACUACUUUUUUACAUUGAUUGUAUGAAUGAGAACAGUUGUAAUUGAGCAACUAUGUAAAAAUUUUAGAUUAUUUUACUCGCAUCAAAAUUGGAUUUAUUUUGAGCUUAUUUUUCGUAAAAGCUUACCAUAAUAAGAUGCACCAACUAAGUUAGAUCAUAGCUCUUGACUCAAAUUAAAAAAAUACCUUUUGCACUUGCUCUUCAAGACAGUAGAAGAAGAAGGAUUGAUGUGCCAAUUCCUCUUCCUCUGAUCUGCUUUAAUUACAGACCAAUUUUCUGCACCAGCCUUACCUUAUCUUCCUCCUAAAGAAAUCACAUAAAUGUUUAGCAAUCUUUAUGGAAUAUCCAAUGUGAAUAUGGAAAAAAAACAUAUCAAUAUAUUUAAGAGUUUUCCCCUUGAAUAACAAUAUGAUCAAGUAACUACAAGAUACCAUGAAUGAAUACCAAUUAUAUUAGAUACCAUCAAGAUAAGCACUUGGACGAAUAAAUAAUACUAUGAAAAGUCAAAUGCUUCAACCGCUCCUAUCAAUUUCUAAUACGAAGACAGAAGUGUGUGUAUCUUAUCUAUCUUGUCUAAUGAUGUUGUACUAGUAAUUGAAGUUAAUAUACAAUAAUGUUUUUGUCCUAUUAUAUCACAUGGUGUACAUAUGAUUCUCUGCUACGCGUUAUCCAAUAAAUUUUGGUGAGGCUCACUAAUGCAUUUGAAAGAAAACAAAAUACAAAAUGCUAGAAGAGUGCAAAUUAAACAAGAUUCUUUAAUUCCAGAACAAACUAUUCACCAUUUCUUUAUUUCUAUUUUCUCUAUCCCACAUGCUUUAUAUAUACACAUAGAAACUAUGGUUACAAGCUUAACCCUGGCACUUAAAUUUAACUUUCUAAUUGCUCCAAAAAUUUUAAUAAGUACCAACUAUUUUUCUAUUAUCAAUACUACCUAUUUCAAAGCACAAUUUAUUAGAAAUGAGAAAAAUAUCAUGAAUUCAAUUAUCAGAAGUUAGAAUGCAAAAUGAAGAAACAAUAACACAAUACCCACCAAGUUAACAAUGAAAGUAAGCACCAACCACAAACCUCGUCAUAAUCAAACUCUAAAAAUUUAAAAAACUCAUCAACAAAACAUAACAAACAAAUGAUCAAACAGAGAAUAUGCAUAGUAAUAUUUUUCCAGAAAGAUAUUUGUCCUCUUCUUCAUUUUGGUUAUGAUGCACAACAUACAAGACCAAUCCUACAAUAGCAGAUAAGCCAAGGAGUACCUAGAUCCAGCAAGAGAACCUUCGCUAACCAGGUGCUGAAAAUUGGAAGCUCAUCGUCGGAUCUUUUGGUAGCUGCACAACAGGUCCAUCAAGCCCUAAAAUCAUUUAUUCUCCAGCAAUCAGAAGCAUGCCUCAAGCCCCAAUAGAAUAAAAAAGGGAAAAACUGACCUGGAAAACAAGGGAAGUCAAGGGUUCAUAUUUCAUAGCAUGGUGGACGAAGUGAAGCCGCAGGGACAAUGCGACGCGAACGGAGGUUCAGACGACGUGACGCGACACGAACAGAGACCGAAGGUGCGGGAACUGGCAGACACAGAUGAGCCAACAACGAGAAGAGAGAACGGCGUCGACGACAAUACACGACACACGCACAGAACUUUUGGAGGCGACGAUGCAGUGACGAAGACGAAGCAGAGGACCGAUGAUCGUGGCAGCAACCGUGCGGUGGCGGUGGCUGGUGGUUCUUUUGGGACUGUGAGAUUGACAAAGUAAGGCUGAGUGAGGCUGAGACUUGAGAGUUGAGAGGGAGAUUGAGAGAUGGAGACGGUGAGGUUUGAGAGAUUGCUAAUUUAGCGUUUUUUUUUAUAUAUAAAUCAGCAAAACGAACCGGCUGGUUAUUUAAAACCACCGGUUGACCGAUUUUUUAUCAAAACUGUCCGGUCUAAACCGGUCAUCACCAGUUCUUUUCUUUCUUCGGUCAAACACUUCAACCGGACCGACUACCUGACUGGUUCAUCAGUUUUUUGGUCGAAUCGGUCGGUCCGAUCUGAUUCUUAUAACUAUGGAUUCACAGCCAAGGAACAAAAAAUAAUGGCCCUUAUCAUAAGAACAGAGAAACAGAGGGAAGAAAUAGUUACCUUGUACUAUUCAUG